AGAAAAUUUUCUUUACUUUUGUUGUUUAAUAAUUGGCAAUUAAAAUAUUUGUCUCGUGUUAUUCAUAUGUAAUGAAAAAUAUUAUAGUAAAAAGCAUUUAUUACGUAAUCUGAAAUUCUACGAAUUAAACACAAGAAUCUAAUAUUCUCGUUAUAGAAAAAAUCACUUUUUCCUCGAAAUUCACACUUUCUAAGAAUUACUUUUUCUCUUGAAAUAUAAAUUCAAGAACCAAACACCGCUAAAAGUUUUUACACUUACAAUUUUGUUGCAAGAUUACAAACAUGUUUAUGUUAAUGUGUCUCAAUUUUUUUCUUUGCUUCUUUUUUUAUUAUUGUACUAAAAUUGACAAUCUUAUUAGAUAGUUCACAUUAAAUUUUCCACCCAAAAAGGAAAAAAAAAUCUAUAUUUCUCUGUCUCUGCAAUGCCAUAUUGUGGAAUGUGGAAGAAAUAUGGAUAGUAAACAUAUGAUCCAUGAUGUUUGUUUAUGUGCUUGAAUGUGUACAUAUUACUCGUAUUUGUGUUACAUUUUGUUGCCAAGAGAUGGUGAAAAGAAAUAAAUCAUUCAUUCAACUCUUAAGAAAUGAAAGAAUUUGAAUUUGAUUACAAAGAACAAAUAAGGGAACCAGGAAAAUGGUCCCCUUGAUUGGCAAGAGAACUAGUCUAACUUUGGAGUAGACUUGGCAAUUUAAAGAACUUUGGAGUAAAGUUUACCAUUUAAAACACGCCAUGGAAGCAGUACACAAAUAUGAUAUAUUAAAAAAAGAGACGAAGGUGACAUGGGUUAAAAUUUUAGCAAAAGAUGUAUGGGUUUAACAAAAACAAAAAAUGCAUUUUGUGUUUUCUAUGUUGACACAAAUUAUAACAUGAUUUUCGUGUAAAACUUGGGAAGAAUACACGAAUUGCCAAGUCUACUUUUAAGCUAUAUGACAGAAACUAUUAGUAAAAAUACAUACACUAUUCUGCAGUUAAAUGUGAUUUAUAUAUUGCAACGAUCAUAUCCAGAGAACCAGGAUGAGUUUUCUGCAAGCUUUGAUAACUCACCAUCUUCACCUUUAUAGAAUGGUUCAAAUUCUUCUCGCCAUUGCUGAUCGCAGGCAUCGCGGAUCUCACCUGCAUCAUACCUGGCAAUGUCAAAAUUAUCAUAAGCAGGUUGUAUUGCUUUUUUAGGUAGACGUGAUUCUGUGAGUAGCUCAUUAAGAGUGCUGAUCUCAUGUUCAUGUUUUCGCUUUAAUUUAUCAAUCUGUCUGCGAGCCUUCUCAGUUUCUUGUUCUGUUUCCAUUGCUCGCUUCUGCAAUUAUUUUAAAACAGGAGGAAAUGAGAACAAUGCUAAAAGCUUCACAUUCACUCCCAAGUCCCAAAGUAGCUUUGCUAGUUAGACCAGCAAAGUGAAGUGUUCCCUACCACAUACAAGACUAAGGGAAAAAUUAAUCAAAAGCCCUAAAAAGCGGUAAUAUGUUCCAACACCCUACAAUUUUGAACCAAACAAUAUCUAACACAGAUGAUUUGCUGCAAAAGACAGUAGUAUGUUUUAAGACUUUUGGUCAUCUAAAGUACACUCUUGCACAGCAUGCCGAAAAAGUAUUUGAGGGAGAAUGGAAAACUAUGAGAUAUUGAGGAAGAUUAGUCUAACAGCAUUAUGUUAUUUAUGAAUUCUCGGCAUUUUAAAUUACAAGCAUUUCAUCUGGAAAUUCCUAGCCUUCACCAAAGAGGAAAAAAAUAAUUUUAUGCAUUACAUACAGAUGAAAUUGACUAAAUGGAAUGUUGAAGUCCUCAAUUUUUAGUACUUUUUCUGUACAAAAUGUGUACAUAAAAUGUCCAUUUACCUUUUCAUCAAUUUGUUUACCUUUCCAAUAAAAGAACCAAAGAGUAACCAGAUGAUGACACAAGCGUCACCAAGAAGUUCUCUGAGCAACUAUUAUAUGAGGUAAACAUGUAAGAUAUAAACCCAUCUCAGCUUUAAAAGCAACUUCUUGACAUAUUAGCUUGUGCAUUCUAAACUUGAGGUUAGAUCUCUGAAUCAUAAUUUAUAUCCAAAAGUUAAUUGAGACCUCAUGAGCCUCAUAAAUGGAUGUUUUGUCAAAGGCAGCAUGGUUUAAGGGGCUUUGCAUUGGCAAAUACUAAUAAUAAUAUAUGUUUGUUAUAGUUGACUAGCAGGGUUUACAACAAAAUUUAUUUAUCACGAGGCAAUGUAUAAAGAACAUAUAUCAAUACAUAAAUACAGAUAUAUGAGAGACAACACUGAGAGUGCUUAUUUGUAAAAUGAAGGAAAGCAAAUAAUUUUCACAACAAAACUAAUCACACUCCCUCUAUCCACUCAUCUUGUCACUUUUGAACUCUGAUAUUGUCCCAUCAAAAUUUUAAUUUGAAAAUAAAAAAAUUGAACGACAAUGUUUGCUACUUUACUCUUGCAUCAUAACCAUUAAAAGUAACAUGACAGACUGAACAGACACUUUAACAUCUAAAAUUCCAAUCCAAUAGUUAUCCCAGCUUAGCUACCAGUUUUCAUUUUGGGAUGAAAACUUAAUAUGUAACAAAAAUCUUAAUAUCAAGCAGAGAAGUUAAAGUUGAUGAAAACAUAUAAGUAACUUUACUUACUUGAGCAGCAGCCACAGCUUCUUCUGCUUCUUUUAACCGUACAAGCAAUUCGCCUGCAGCCUGGACUGCUUCAGCAGUAUCCCUCAAUUGAGCCUGGAGUCCUCUAUUCUCAUCCCUAAGAUAUUGCCUCUCCUUUUCCCUUUCCACUUUCAGUGCAGAAAUUUCAGCAGCAAGGGCAUUUAUGAACUUAGAUUCAGCACCCCUGACCCCUGCCCUAGCAGCUGCCUUUUUAACAUCAUCUAUUCCCUCUUGAAUCUUCCUAUGCCUUGCAAGCAAUUGCAUGUGUUUUUCUUCAAGAUCUGCAUACUGUUCAAGCAUUGUUGCAUGUCCCACCAUAGCCAUCUGCAUUGCUUCCUUCAAUUCUUCUGCACAUUUCUUCUCCAUAUCUAGUUCCUGCUUCCUUUUUUCAGCCAGCAAUUGGCUAGCAUCAAGUUCAGUCCUUAAUUCCUCUACAAGAGAAAUCCAUUUGCUCUCUGCCUCAGUCCACCGAAUUCUCUCUUGUUCAAAUUUCUCUUCAGUACUCUCCUCAUUUGUCUCUGGUAUUGCACUUAGAGGUGGAGGCAUAUUGGGCUCACAUGAAUAUGUCAACUGCAGUAAAGAAUUUUGUCUUCGAGCUGAUGUGGAAGAAGAGUCUAUAUAAUAUUGUAACUGGUUUCUUAAAUCCUGAAUUUCUUCUAGCAACACUUCCCUCUCACCAAAAUCAUGAAAAUUUCGAAAGCGCUCCAGCUCAUCCUGAACUCUUUUCAACUCAAUCUUUGUUCUUAAAACCUCAGGAUGGUUCUCAUAUUUCUCCUUCAGAAGCUGUAGGCAAUAGGUGAGAUACAGAUGCAAAUAAAAACGUUAAUCUAAAAAACCUUAAAAGAACAAACAAACACCUUGUGCUCAUGUGUGAGGGAAGCUAGCUCUUCUUCCAUGAAUUCCUCCGUAGGUAAAACACCAUCCAUAAGGCUCUCAAGGCGAAGAAUUUUAUCCUCCCUUGUCUGCCCUAUAAUGGCGUUGCACUCUCUCUCAUGUUUGUACUGUUGCACCUGUAAAUAAUAGCCAAUAACUAUAACAUCAACAAUUCGCAAUGACAAUAGCCACCAUUAGCUGCGAGUAAAAUUACUAAGAAACCUACCAAACGGUUUAACUGCAUUAUCUCAGAAGCUUGCUUGGCACAGAAAUCUUCAAGAGCCAUUUCUCUCCUGAUAGAUCCAGCCAAAACCUUCUCCACUGCCUGUGCAAUACAAGGUAAGAAAAAGGUCAAUCAUGUAGAAGCUAUAAUAUGAAAAGCUAGAACUUGAGACUUGUUACCUUUGGAACUUGCUUCUUGGUUUUCUCAGCAGACUCUGACUCAUCAACAGGGACUAACUGCAUGUUAGAGCUUUCAUUGUCCUCUUUCCCCUCCAUGUUUGUUCUCUUUUUACAAUUACCACAUAGAAAUGCUACUGGCUCUUCUUCUUGAAUCUCAUAAUCUGGAAGAAAAGUUUGAACUCCGGCAUCGACUUUAUGAGCUGCAAGGAUUGGCUUAGAGUCAGCAGGUUUUAAUGAAAAACGGAAUGGUGAUCUCCUCAAUGCUAAACUUCGAUGGUGACUAUCAAUAAUCUCAAGACCACGAUGAAGGCUAGCUGCCAAAUGUUCAGUUGGUGUGAAAGGUACACGCAUAGCCUCUGGGCCAUCAUCCUUAAGAUCUUUCUGCGAAGCAGUGAACAUUGAUGAUGUCCUCAGACUCUUCCUACUCUGGUUCACUCUAGGUGAGACACUUGGUGUUGGGGAUUUAAGAAUCACAGAAGAAUCCCCAUCAGUUGUUUCAACAGUUAGCUGGCCUGGUCCGCCCGGAUUCUCUUUGACACUUUCAUGAGCAUCAACAACGUUUGGCAUGUUUGUAGCAGGUUCAACUGAACCAACAAUCAUAAUUUCAGAGGUUUUAGUCUCUUCAGAUAUUUCUUCCUCCAUGUUUACAUCAGUAUCCUCAGUGUCUUGUGCUUUGACACAUUCAAAUGUGUUAGGCAAUAGAUCAUGAGCACAUCCAUUUUCAGAGGUGGUAUUUCCUGAAUCUGAUUCAAUUAUCUCUGGUUUGGUCACUUCAUUUGAACAGCGAUAUAUAUCUGCUGAUUGCAGGCCUACUUGAGCACAAAGACUCUCGACAGCUUCCUCAUCAAUUUCCAUCUCCUCAUCACCAUCUUCAUCAAUAUGAGGUAAUGUCCUUGGAUGAUUGAGGCUAAAUUUUAACAAAUUCAAGCUCCUACGGGCAUUCCAUCCAGUUGAGUAACUUCCAUUUGGAUCAGUUUGGUUGUUUCCAUUAGCUUUCAUUCGUUGGAGUUCAUCCUGCAUGGUUCCCUCCACAAUUUUCAUAUUCACACAUUUCAUUGCAUAACUCAUGGAAAAAAAAAAAACUGAUAAUUAGAAUAUACCUUCAACUGCCGAAUCACUUCACGCAGAAAAUUUACAUCAUCCUGCAUCACUUCAUUAAUGACUGCCUUGUUCUUGAUUGCCUUUGUACGCUGAGCAAAUCGUAGUGUGCUGAAUGUUUCGCUCUUACAGCUGCAUUACUGACUCAAGUAAACUUCCCUUGCCUGGGGGGGGGGGGGGGGGAAGAAAAUCUUAAACAAAAUAAGGGCAGUUGUUGUCUUGUUACCUUUGUGCUGGAGAGAUUGCACAGACCAUUGCUAAUUUUGCAUUGCCACCAAGAGAUUCCUGUAAUAAAAAUGUCAACUUGGAGUCUCUGUAGGGGAUAUGCCUUUGCUUUCCGGUUUGGGAUACUUCAGCAAGAAUGUUUAUCAAGUUCCUGAACUCCAAAUAAUAAGUAAAAUUAGGAAAAAUCUAGCAGUGUGUGCUCUUGACACAUCCAUGAAAACAUGCUGAAGCAACAAAGAGGCAAGAAAACAUGGUAGAAUUGAAUCUGAAUUGAGCAAUUGUCUCCAUCACUUGUAUUACAUAGCCUUUUUUAUUUUCUGUAGCUUCUUUUUUCUGUAUCACCUUCUUCUGAAACUGUAAUUGGCUAAAUCACUUUUUUUUCCAGCUAGGAAGACAAUCACCUUUUAGACAAAUAUGCUAAAAGUAGUUUUCUUUAAAGGUUUGGACACGCAUUUGCUCUAUUACAUUAACUCAUUUUUUAUUGUAUUCUCACAUUUUGGAGCUCAACAAUGCUCCAUACCACAUUUGCGAACUAUUGAAAUCUAAAAAGAUUCCGAAUUGCAGAUGUAUCACAUUGUAGUCAAAGUUGGAAGAUCUACUUUUUGAACAAUAAAGUAACAACCAAAAGUUGAAUCUAGAGAUUCAAUAUAAGAUGCACGUGAAAUAAGACAUGCAUAUGAAAGAAAAGAUACGAAAAGCAUACCCAAGUUGUGAGAGUGAACGAUUAAUAUUCCCUGCCUCCUUUAAGCGAUCCCCUGCAGCACCAGUUAGUUUUUGUCUCUCCGAACCGGCUAGAUCAACGAGAUUUAUUCGGCUUGUUUUAAAGCUACUUACACCAUCGGCCACACUCUGUAAGAACAGAGAGUACUUCAGAAUCCUCAAGUAUAAUUGGGAGAGAAAAACUCGUGAAAAUAUGAUAUAUUUUCCAGUUGUUCUGCAGAUCAUGAUCCUUGUGAUUUUAUUAUUUACAAAAUGUGACAAAUAAAAAAGGACAUGGAAUUUAAGAAAAUUCUGGUUUGCAAAGCUGCCCAAGUUAGUGAUUUGAUGCCACGAUUUGGUUUUGAAAAACUUGUAAUCCAACAAGAAAUAUGCUAGCUCAAACAUAAAUAUUAGAAACAAAUAAAUAAAGCACAUGAAAUUCAAACCAUUAUUACCUUACAUCGAGACUCAACAACACAAGUAAAAACACAAUGUGAACGGGAACUUUCGGCAUUGAUAGUAGUCGCACCUGUCCUUCUAUUUGAUAAUCCCUGCAUCAUUUGUGUGAAGCUUCUAAAUUUAAUUAUUUGAAUCAAACUUAGUUAAGUUUCAAAUCCACUUUUACCAAACUGGAAUAAAUGGAUCAAGCUAAUAAGAAAUCAUGCAUAAAAGUGUUCCUUUUCUAUCAAGAAAAGUUGAAUGUUAGCAUUCAAAGCAUUGGCAAAAUAAAAAUAAAAAUAAAAACAAACCUUUAUCAACAGCUGAGUCACGUCCUUCAUCGAACUUACAUACUCCUCCGUCAAAUUCUCAACGUAGACGCCAGAUUUUACAUCUUCUCUUAUCUGGAUGAAAAUCAUAAAACAGUCUAAGAAAACCAAAAAUUUUCAUCCCAAAAAGAAAGAAUUGAAAAGUUAAUUAUAAUUAUUCAUUCUACCUGCAGGUUUCUUUGAUUUGGAUCCAACAAAUCCGUGAUUUGCUCAUUAUAGAUCUGCAAAAGGAAAUUGAAAAGCAAGUGGUAAGGAAUAAGAAUAAAACAAAGAUAAACAGUCCAAUUAUAUCAAAAUCUAGUACCACAAUAAGUCAAUCAACUCUACCUCAAGAAAAGAACAGCGACAUUGGUACUUGAGUUGUUUAUCAGCAUGCUUGAUUUGCUCCUACAAAAUAGAAGGUUGAAGCACAACAAACCAUUGAAAAUGGUCCACUCAUAACAUAAACAUUCAGUGCAUUCAUUGACGAACAUAUAUUGAAACCUUUACCUCAUUUAUACGAGCAAAGAGUCGAUCAAACACACGGGGAGUUAAGCCUUGUUGAUCACUUGAUAAAUUUUCUUCCAACAAGGCGUUGGCUGGACCCCAAAUCGUAUAAGUCUUUCCACUUCCAGUCUAGCGAAAACCAUUUUAUUCAGACACACAAAUUGAAAAGUUAUAAACCAGUUCAAAAGUAAUUCAAUGAAGAAGCAAGUACCUGGCCAUAAGCAAACACCGAGCUGUUAAACCCAGCAAGACAAUUUUCGACGAGAGGUGCUCCUACGAGCUGGAAGAUAUCUAGCUGCAGUUAAAAAAGAAACAAAAUUUAGGGUUUUACAGAAAUAAUUAAACAGAGGGAAAUAAAUAAAAAGUAAGCCCAUCAGUGCCUGAGUUGCAUCCGUGUUGGCCACUGAGUCAAACGUGAAGGUUUGUCCAGUGAUACUCAAAGAUUCAUUACUAAUUUUCUGAACUAUUGUUUCCCCUUCUUCCUCUUCUUUAAUUGGCGGCCGCAUCCGUACAACCACCUAAAGAAUAAUAAUAAAAGGGAGUCAAUAUUUGAAAUCUAAUAAAUUCCAUAAUUCAGAAAAAAAAAAAAAGGAAAUACCUUGACACCGGAAUCGGAGAUUCCUGAGACGGCGUUUUCGGGGAGGGUUUCCGGAUAAAGUUUGCGCUUGAGAGGGUUGGAGGACGGCGGGCGAGGUGGCAACGGACACUUGAUCUUGGCCGUUGCGGUUGCGGCGGGGGAAGGUUGGGAGUUGGGAUCUGGCGGCGGUGCGUUUUCUUUGGAUGAUUUUUGGUGUUUCCGUUUGGAUUUAGAAGGUGUAAGGUUUGGGGAAGAAGGGUUCUCCAUCUGCUCUCUCAAGACCGUGUUUCUUGGUAACAUGAAAUGCUUCAUUUUUUUUGUUUGUUUGGACAGAAAGGAAAAGAGAGGAAAAAGGGCGAGAAAGGGGAAGAUUAGGGCAAGAAAGCGUGAGAGAUGGAGAGAAAGAGAGAAGAGUGGAAGUGAGAGAAAAGUAGCCGUUAGAGGGAACAAAAGAGUUUGAAUUUGGGGAUUUUUAUUUUUAUUUAUUUUGAAAUUAUGUUGGAUCUGGAGCGUUUUUUUUAAUAAUUAAAUAAACCUACGUGGACCCAUUCAAGAGCCCACUUUUGAUACGACACUGUUUUUCUUUGACGGCCCAGAUUCUUGGGCUUCUUUUUCUUUUCCUUUUAAGUCAAUUAGCCACUUUACUGUUAUUAAAUUUGAGAUUCAACCAUUGUACUUUUAUUCUUUUCAAUUAAGCCAUUACAUUAUUGUCAAGUGGUCAAUUAAGCCAAUUUUUUUAAUUGGUCUAUACUUAAAUUAUUGUUAGAGUGAGAUAGCCAGAUGUCAAUUCAAUUCAAAUGGCAGGACAAGGAAAAAAAAAUCUAAAAAUUAGUAUAAGUAAUUGUUUUGUAAUUGCCUUCCAUUUCUUUCUUCAUUAUUUGUUUCAUUUCCUUUAUUUUUUUCACACUCACCCAUCCUUCUUAUAGUAUGACAAUAUAAUAUAAACAUAAUAUAAAAAAAAAGGUAAUAAUAUUAAAUAAUAUAAAUAUUCGAAUUUUAAUAUUAUCGAAAGAUGUAACGGUUGAAGGCAGGACGCAAAGGGCACUUGUCCGUCUAUUUAUACAGGUGUCCUUGAGUCCACUAUCACAAAUACGUAAUGCCAUUGCCACUCACCAAGUACCUAACUGCAAUGAAACAAUGCCCGAGACGAUAAGAAUCAAGGCCCUUCAUUCAUGAUUUCAUGUGAUGUUUUUUUGCGUCAAAAACCAGCAGAAAAAGCAGUACGCAACAAAAAACCUUAGCACAAUUUGACAAAAAAAGAACAAUUCCGUCGGAAAACGCUAGCUCACUAUUGUCCCAUAAAUGACGGCCCUGUCAUGUCGUUUUCCCUUGCGUCUAAAAUACGCCGCACGACGUCGAUGCUCUCUUCUGCCUCGCUCGCCACCCCUGUCAGCCCAUUUCACCACCUUAAUUUGCGUGACGAAACGCUUUCUUUUUCGGUUUUCUCUCUAUAUAACACCAUAACCCCAAUACCCCACCGUCACAAUCAUAUUACAUAAAAAAAACUGAAGCACCAAAAGAUGGCGAAAACUGAGCUGAUAACUAUCUCUUUGUUGUUCGUAAUAACAUUGUCUUUCACGUUGGUUAACGGUUAUGGAACGGCGGUGGGAGGGAAAACGAAAAUAAGCGAUGUGAAGACGAACAAGGAGGUGCAAAAGCUUGGGAGGUUUUCCGUGGAAGAAUAUAACAGGAUGCAGGGGCGUUUGAGGAGUAAUAGAGGGACGGAGUUGGUUUUUUCUCAGGUUGUGGAGGCUCAGAAACAGGUGGUAUCUGGGAUCAAGUACUAUCUGAAGAUUGAGGCCAUGCACAAUGGGCUUUCCAGGACGUUUGAAUCGGUGGUUGUGGUGAAACCUUGGGUUCAUUCCAGGGAAUUGCUCAGCUUUUCCCCUUAUUCUCAAAAAGGUUAGGGGUUUGCUUGUGUUGAAUCUGUAGCGUUGUAAUGGUCAUUCCCAAGUUUGUUUUGUGUUUUAUGGCAUUUUUGGUUUGGAUUUUUGUGUUUGAGUGUGGGUUUUAACCUGUGAUUUUCAUGUAUAAUAAGUCUUUGAACGUGCAAUAAAGGAAUAAAUAAUGCUAAUCAACUAUUUGUUUUACAAAUAAUCUAUAUAUCUUUGCUGGGAAAGAGAAGGAUUGUGAUUUGUGCUUUCUGGAUCAUGUAUACAUCAGCUUUCGAUUCUCUGAUUCCAAAAAGCUCAAAGAAAUGGUCUUAUCAUUCAAGGAUAGUUGUAGAUGAUGAAGGAUCGAAUUCGUUUUUUUUUUUUUUUUGCCUUUUAUUUUCUCCAUAUUGUAUAAUAUUUUAAAAUUUCAAAAAAGGAUUCAAUCUUUUUUUAAAUCAAAUUGAUCCAAAUUCAAUCUGGUUUAUCAGUUUUUUAAAUUAACUUUUAAAUAUUCUAUUAUUUUUUUUAUAUUUUUUUAAAUAUAUUUAAAUUUAUUUAAAUAUGAAAAAUUAUUUUUAUUUUAUAAAAUUUAUAUUUAUAUAAAAAUUAAUAAAAAUAUAAUUCUAUUUGAUUAGAAUAUUUUUAAUUUUUUUAUUUCGUUAUUUAAAAUCGAUUUGAAUUUAAUUAAAACAUCUAUUUGAAUCAAAAAAUUUAAAUAUAAAUCAAUCUAAAUACUUUAAUUUCAAAUUAAUUUUUUAUUUUCUCGACCUUAAAAAAAACUACAAAUUAAUUUUAAGUUUAUAUUUAUUUAUUAAAUUUAACAAACAACCAUAAAUAAUAUUUUAAAAUUUAUUAAUUAAACAAAUAAAUUACAAAUAUAUAUAAAAAAAAUUGGUUCACAUGCAAUUUGUUUACAAUUAUAUAUAUAGCUUAUAUGUAUUCUAUAAAGCUCCAAAAAAAUAUAAAAUUACAUAUGUAAAAGUAGUUACUUGUGUAAGGAUACACCAAGUAACUUAUAAUUAAAAAAGGAAAAACGUUAAACAAUGCAAUCGUCUUCCCUCCUUAAGAAACCAACUUUCUGAAACAAAAAUUAACAAAGAUAAACCAAACAAAUUCCGGGGUCAUAAUACAAUAUUAGAUAAUACAAUUGUUAUCUUUAACUUGAACAUUCUUAUACAAAGUGGUUAAGAUAAUUGAUCAAGCUUUUUUCAGCUGCAAAUACAACAUGCACUUAAAGCACAAACUUUGAACAUUACAUGGCCACGUGAUCUACCAGGGGAUCUGACCAUUUUUGCCAAAUUAAGCUAGUGAUCAUGGAAAGUAUGAGAAAGAGGCAAACCAAAAUAACCAGCAAUCUGCAAACCUGUUUAGAUGCAGGGAUUUAAAUAGCGGUCGCGGUCACGUUUUCAGUCGCGUAGCAUUUGUCACGUUUUCGGAUAUAACGGAGAUAAUUGCGGUCACUGCGGUCAUCACGGUCGUGAAAUUUUUUUUUUUUUUGCAUAAUUUAUUAUAAAAUGUAAUAAUUAUAAUUAUAAUUAUAAAAACUCUUAUUCAAUGAUUUUAAAACUAGUUUAUGACACUAUAUUUUUUAUUUUCUAAAAAAAUUAUUCACAAUUUUAUUUAGAUUAUAAAAAGCAUUCAUAUUUGGUUUAUCCAUAAAAUUUUUCUUGGCCAAAUUCAUAUUCAAUAUUAAUUCUAGACAAAUCAAAUAUUAACAAAACAUAAUAUGUUAAAUACCAAGCAUUUAAUUUAAUAAAAUUACAAACUUAAAAAUAUAAUAAAUUCAAAUUCCAUCAACUACAAUUAUUGAUACAUAUUUCAAAUUUACCAUAUGGUAGAAUGACGAGGAGGAUCAGAUUCUCUAUCUUUACUUUGAGAGCCAAGUUGACUCCAUCUCCAUCCCUGAGACCUUUGUUCUUGAUACAUUUGAGGUGGAGGAUAUAUUUGAGGAUGAUACAUUUAUGGUAAAGGGUACAUUUGUGAUAACUGAUACAUUUGAGGUGGAGGAUAUAUUUGAGGAGGUAGAGGAUACAUUUGAGAUGGAUAAUAACUAUAUGGAGGUGGAUAACCAUGAGGAGGUUGAAAAUUAUGUUGUUCUGGUGGAUAGUAAUGUCUUUGAGUACUAGCAGAUGAUUCACUAUACUCAAAGUUACUAGAAUUUGAUCUCUCACCUGAAGAUGAAGAACAUCUAAAAAUUUCAUAGUGGUGCUUCUUUGCUUUUCCUUUUGAUCGAGCUGUACGUGCACUUUGACCCUCACUAGAUUUAGCAAAUGGAUUUCCUCCGUAUUCUGCCAUAUUAAUAAAAAGUACACCAGUAGCAGCAAGCCUAAAUUCUUCUCCAAGUGGGCUGUAAGGUCGAUUUGCAUCCAUAUUAUCACUAAAAUUCACACCAUCACCAUCUCUAUCACCAUCUCCAUCUGGACUUAAACCACCACCAUCAUCACUCUGACUUGGUGUUGGACUUGAACUUGAAUGAGACACAUUCCUUUCUUGAGAUUGACGUGAUUGUUCAACAUUCAUUUCAUUAUCAGAAUUAUCUGCAGGCAACCAAUCAGAGUUUUGACCAUCUAAUAGAGGAUUUUCUUUCUCUUGCAGCCAUUCUGUUAGUGGAUCAUCAUCUUCAAAAAUAUUUGAUGCAGAUGUUGUUUGACUAAGCACUUUGAUUGCUAGUUUUUGUAAUUCAGGAACACAAGUGCCAUAUAUCAUCCACCACUCAGCUGUAUAAAAUUAUUUAAAUUAAAUUUCAAUUGGCUAUACAAUUAAAUAAUAUAAAUAAAUUAUAAUUAUUUAACUUACUAUUUACCUGGAUUCAUUUGCUUUCAAGCUCUUUGUGCUUGUGGACUACCAAAUGUUUCAUGCUUGUCUCAAAAUAAUAACAACUACAUCGAUUGAAAAUACAAUAAUAAAUGAAUAAAUAAAAAAUAAUUUAAUUUUUAAUACACAAAACAAAUGUUAAAGUUAUAAAAUAGUAUUAAAUACUAACUUGAUUAAUCAUUCUGAUUUGAGUAUCUAUCGAAGGUUCUAAUCUUUCAAUAAUUGCUUUUAUACCUUCUAAUGUUUCCUUAAAUACAUUUGCAGAAUGUUCCACUCCAAAUUGAAAUUGUGGAUUUAGAUAGUAACAUAAACAUAAUUUAUAACAAUAUUAUAUUAAAGUAAUAAAAAAUAAAUAUAUAAGCAAUUUAAGUAUAAAAAAUAAACAUAUUUUUUAAAUACCAUCUAUAUUCUUGGUUUACUUACCAGCUGAAUGAAAGUCAGAGUGCAUGAAACUCCAUCUAUUGUCAAUAAUCUUUUCAUAUUCAGCAGAAUAACGAUAAGUUUGUUGAAUUGCUUAUUUAGCUCUAUCCACAGCCUCGUAAAUAAAGCCCAUUGUUGGUUUUUCAUCACCAUCCACAAGGCGCAACACUUUUGCCAAAUGCUCAUAAACUUUUAUUAUAUCACCUGCUUUUUUUCAAAAAUCUUUUUCCAAAAUGAUUUUUUUGACUUCAUAAGCAGGUCUUGAUUUUUGUUGUCCCCAUUUUGAAUCUUUAAAUUCCUAUAUAUUCAUCAAUAAAUUUUUAGAGUAAUAUAUUUUAAAUUAAUAUUUUAAAACAAUAAUAUCAUAAAAAGAUGCUAGAUUUAAAUAAUUGUACUAAUUACUAAGUACUAACCUUUGAAUUGAACAUCUCUCUCAAGCUUUGCUUUUGCCUCAUUAUUUCUUCUAAUUGUAUGAAAUGAGUGCAAAUCGGGUAAGAGCAGGAUGAAGUAUUUGCUUCCCUUGUGUAUAUUUUUUCAUCAAAUUAACAGUCCAAAUGUGAUUAUAUAUAAAACAAGUUACUUUCUUUGCAUCAUCCAAAACCUUUGCCUCAUUUUUUUCCUCCCAAUAUCUUCAAGGCACAAGUCCAAACAAUGAGCUGAACAUACUGUCCAAUACAAAUGUUUUCUUUUCUCCAUUAGUCUUUUUCCUGCGGCCUUAAGUGUUAUCUCGUCAUCAGUGACUAUUUGAACAAUGUAUUUUUCUCUAAUUUUUUUCACAACUUCAUCUAAUAAUCUGUAUUAAAGUUUGUAUCUCUACUACAAACACUUGAGACAUCUACAGAUUUUCAAAAAAUAGUCCCUUUACUACAGUAAACAAGAAAAUUAAUGAUAUGCAUUUGAUUCAAACUAUUGGUCCAACCAUCACACAUCAAAGUGACACCCAAUUCAUUCCAAUAAGCUUUUAAUCCAUUAACUCAUUCAUGAACUUGUUGAUACUCAGACUCUAAAUACACAUCUGAGACCUCAUAAUGUGUUGGAAGUCUUACAUGUUGGCCAACUUCUGCUGUCAUAGAAAUCAAAUUAUGCAACAAUGGGGAAUUUGCUAAUUGAAAAGGAAGUCGAUCAUAUAUCAAAAAUUUUGAUACUGAUUCACCCAUUUUUCUUCUUAAUGUCUUUAGAAAUGAAUCACUUACUUUUAGUUGUCUUGAACUUUUACUUCUAACCAAUUCAGGAACAGCUCCCCUUAAUGAAAAUUUAGACUCAUUUGGAGUUGAUUUCCUUGUUCUUUCUUCAAAAUAUUCAGCAACUGAACCAUGAAGGCUUCGUCCUUCUUCAUAUAUGUUACUCCAACCACUAGUUCUUUGUCUGAAUUCUUAUCUUCUGUGUCACUCAUGUUGUGAUUGGAUACUAUCUCGCACGGCUUGUCUAGUAGCAAUAUCUUCAUCAAUAAAUCUUUCAUAAUCAUCUUUCCCUCUUAAUUGUGAUAAAAAUUCAUUUUUUCUUCUUUUGUUGUCAGCCUUUUUUUAUUUACUUUCUUGAAGGAGUUUCAUCAUACUUUCUCUUACUAUACCUAUUAAUAAUAUAAUUAAAAAAAAAGAGAAAAUUAGUUGCACAUGCUUAUGUAAUUUUAUAAUUUUUAUUAAGAAAUUAACAAUAAUAUUUUCAAAGAAAUUAAAAAAACAUAACAUACCAGUAACAUUGGGGCAUGGUGCAACAUUGUCAGUUUUAUGAGCAAUGUGUUCUUUGAAACGUGUUAUUCCUCCUUUUACAACUUUACCACAAAGUUUACAUGAAACAUUUCCUCUUGUAUUUGGCACAGGUGUUCCAAAAUGCCAACUUAUAUCAUCACUUGGCGCGCCCUCUACUCCUUUACUCGAAAACUCUUCACGUGGUGGCAUACUUACUAUUUUGUAUAAAAACAAAAUAAACUUAUAUUUACAAAUAUUAAUAUUACUUAUCACAUCAUUAAAAAUUGAUUUUAUGCUAAAUUUUUUAAUUUUUAGUUUUUAAUCUUAAGAAUAUUAUUAAAUAACUUAAUCUUUUUGAUGCACUAAUUGAUAUUAAUUUUUUUAUCACAAAUAACUUCAAAUAAUUAUAUAACAAAUACAAUCUUCAAUAAUUACAUAAAAAUAAUAAAAAUUAAUCUAAUAUCAAAAGAAUUGACAACAAUAUAAAUAUCAAAACAACAAAAAAAAAUUAUUAAAUUUUAUAUACAAAAUUAUAAAUUAAUAUCUAACACAAUUAAAAUAUAAUAUUUAAUUUUAAUUAAUUUUUGUCUAACUUAUAUAAAAAAUUUAUUAAUAAUUUUCAUCUACAAUAUCUAUGUAUAUCAUAUUAAAUUAUUAAUCUCUUAUUUUUUUUAAUUAUAAAUCUUCAAUCCUUCUAAUUAGAUUUUAUCUAAAAAAAAUUUCAAAAAUUAAAAGUUUUCAAACUUAUAUUUUAAUAAAAUUUUCAAACCUAUAUUUUUAUUUUUUAGUUUUAAUCUUAAUAAGAGUAAUAGAUCAUAAAAUGCUAAAUUGUUAAGUAACUUAAUUUUUUUGAUACAAUAAUUGAUAUAAAAUUUUUUAUCACAAACAACUUUUAAUAAUUAUAUAAUAAACACAAUCUUCAAUAAUUACACAAAAAUAACAAGAAUUAAUAUAAUAUCAAAAGAAUUGACAAUAAUAUAAAUAUCAAAACAACAAAAAAAAUUAAAAUUCAUAUACAAAAUUAUAAAUUAAUAUAUAACACAAUCAAAAUAUAAUAUUUAAUUUUAAUAUUAUUUUUCAUCUAACUUAUACAAAAAAAUUUAUCAAAAUUUUUCAUUUAAAAUAUCUAUAUAUUAUAUUAAUUAUAAAUUUUCAAAACUACUAAUUAAAUUUUAUCUAAAAAAUUUUCAAAAAUUAAUUAUAAAAUUAAAUAAAAAAAUUCAAUCCCACCCUCCAAACACCCUACCACACCUAAUCCCUCCCCAGCUUCCUCCCAACGCCCCACCACACCCAAUCCCUCCCCACCUUCCCCCCCAACACUCCACCACACCCAAUCCUCCCCACCCUAUCCAAUCUCUCCAUGUGCCUAAUAUAUCAAAUUGUUUAAUUCUUUCUAACAAACCCUUCUAGAAACGCUCCAUUUUUUUGUUCAUCUUCUUCUUCUUGCAUCUUACCUUCUCUGGCUUUCCAGAAAUUUUUUUUUUUUCAUCUCUCAUUUUCUCUCACAUCCCUUUAUCACUACCAUUUGCUGACUUACCUAGUAUCUACAGAUAUCUCGUUCGUCUUUCAAACUCUCAUAAAAUACAACAGAUCAUUUUACAAAAAUUUUACAAAAAAAAAAAGGUAAUUUAACUUUCUUUUCUUACCUUGUUUGAUCUUGAAUGUUGAUUGAAAAUUUGAAGUUGAUUUGAAUUUGAAUGCCGAAAAUACCGUUUGAAUGGUUGAAAGUUGAAACUUGAAAUAAUUAAUCUGUUUUCUAGCUCGUUUUAAAAUUUCUUUUGAUGAUAAAGAUCUGAGAUUGUGAGCUUUAUUUUUUGAGUUGGCUUUUACUUUUACUUUUGCAGGUUUGUUGUUUUAUUUUGCAGGCUUAAAAUUUUAUUUUUUUGUUAGAAUUAUUAGAUCCGUGAGUAGAAAAACGGAAUAGCGACAAUAACGGUCCGUUAUUGUCGCUAUUGCCCGUUACGCCUUUAUUUUGCGGCCGUUACUCUCCGUUUUUGUUGUGAAUGAAUUUCUCAACCGUUUUCUAUCUAUUAACGGUGGUGGAAGGCAGCGCUACCGCAAUUUUGCGGCCGCUAUUCCGCUAUCAAACCGUUAUUUGAAUCCCUGUUUAGAUGCAUUAGAAGAACUUCAUGGAUGACUUUGCACACCAAGUGAUUAGCACUAUCUGAACCUUUUACUAUUCUAUGGUAAUAUAUUUUAGAACAAAUACUCCACCUUUACUCUUCUAUAACAUUGGGAAGGAAGAAAGGGAGGCAGGAUGGAGGGGAAGGGGGAUUUGAGGCAAAUGCCAUCAUGCCUUGCUGUCUAUGACCAUUGGUGCUGGCUCCUGUUUUGCUACCUUUGCUUGCUCUAACUUGUUCAUCUUUGCAAACAUGUUGCCAUAAAAUUGUGAAUCCUUGUUGUGCUCCCCGAUUUUCUCCUUUAGGACUCGGUACUCCAGUUUCACAUCUCUGGUAUCAACGCAAACAUAAAUUAACUUCAACUGUAGUCACAAGUUCACAACAAUUGGAAUAAAACAACUUACUGGUGAAAACAUGAGGCCAAAGAUGAUGCAACCAGAUUUCUUAUCCUACAUGUACUUUCCACUUCAGUUUUAUAGUCCUUGUAUCUAGUAUUUCCCAAAUGCGGCAAAGCAAAUAUUCCCCCAGAACAUUUAUGCAAGAUACAUUCCCAUCCAGCUCACAAUCAUACAAGGCAGGAUGUAGUGACUUGCGCUCGGAUAAAUCACUAAAGUAACCAUAUUCAGAUAUAACAAACAGUUUGCAGUAGAGAAAAACCUGUUAUCAGGGUCAGUCUCGAGGGCCCUUUUGAUAUCCACCUCUGCCAAAUCCAAAUCAACAGGUUGAAUAUAUGCUUGAGCCCUUAGAUAUACUGCUUUCACGUUUCUAUUAUCAAGUUCUAACACCUAUAAAAUCACACAUGCCUAACUGUCAGCAUGAGUGAAUUAACAUUGACAUUUCAUCAAGACAAAUUCUAAAUGCCAAUAAAGCUAACAACCUUAGAGCACAGUUGCUCAGCCUGCUUGUAAUCUUUGAGUUUCAAUUUGCAAGCAGCAUUAUUAAGAUUGCACGUUACUUGUCCCAUUUUCACCCUUCUUCAUUGUUUUGAUACCCUCAUCCCAGCCCUUGAUUACUUGUCGUGCAAUUUAAGGAGAGAAACAAGUGAGCAUAUGCAGUUCAUGCUGUUACAGACAGACACUCCACAACCAAAACAGUCAACGAAAAUCUCCGUUGAACUGUUGAAAUUUGAAAGAUUUCACUUGUUCUCUCAAUGCUUCCAGGAAAGACAGACAUCCAAAUAUCAUACCAGACAGUAAUAUAUUUUACACGGCUUCAAUCGAACACAGAUCUUAGGCAUCAGACAUGAAAAAGAUCUUAAAACUUAGUCCUAUCUAAAUUCAGAUUUGAUAAGAAGAAUAUAGUUGAUGCCAACAAUUUUUAAAAAAACAAGCAUUCAUUAAGUAUUCCAUAUAUCAUCCAACUCAUUAUUCUAUGAUUAUCACAAAAUUCAUCAGACUUUAUUAAGUUAUUACACUGUUAUUAUCAAAAGGGUAAGUUGCAAGGACUAUUCAGAAAUGCUAGGCAGUUUCAAAAAGAUAUGGGGAGUCACCUUCUUAGCGAUAUGACUGUACAAUAUGUUAGUAUGUAAUUUGGCACCUAAAAUAUACUACUUUAACAAUUUAGUACCUAUAAAAAAAAUUCAUUCUAAUCGUACUUGUUUUCAUCAAGCAUUUUACACCUUUGACUAAGGAUGUUAGUCAAAUGUUGGUAUCACAAAUACUAACCAAUAAAAACGUGAUGUUUGACGAAAACAAAAUUCGAGUCUCUAACUAUGAAUUUUCUUUUAUAGGUACUAAAUUGUGAAAAGUGAUAUAAUUCAAGAGCUAAAUCACACAUUAACCCUUUAUAAUAAUAAAUACAUAAAUGUAUGACAGAAACACUUGAAAAUCAGAACUCGGAACAGUGAUUUCUGAAAACAAAUAAGGAGUUAAACUUCGAACUUAAGAAUUAGUGAUUUACACUUCCUUGAUAAGAACACCAGCUUUAACAGAGAGGUAACUAAAUUCAUUAAGAAAUGAAGCUGAACAUGCAUUUAAAAUAAAAGAAAAUUAGAUGAGUAAAAUUAUUCACCUGGGCCAAGCUUGAACUUAAAAGGAGUCUCCCUAUCCCGGCUGGAAUCAAACUUGGUUCCAUAAAGCAAAGUUCCAGUAUAAUGCACUGCAAAAAAACCAACAAACCCAUAAACUUAAAAAAUUCAAGAACAAAGAAGUAACAGAAGAAUAAAUGUAUGAGCUGAUUAAGGAAACUAUUAGGACUCGAUUAUGUAAAUUGCAUUCAAUUGCUGUUGACCCAAUCAACAAAGUUUUGUGUGAUGCUUGAAAUAUAAAUAAAGCUAUAUUGCAUAAUAAUUAGAAUAUGAUUUAAUUGUAUCUAUGGAGUGUAUGUACUGUAGUAAUUUUAUUGCUUCUUUUGGAUAAAUAAAAUAUAACUUAUCCCGAAAAAAAAAAAUCCUAAAGGAAAAAGGACAACCAAAGCAAUGAAGGAAGAAGAAGAAAGAGAGCCAUUACCUUUAACUUCAUCAACAUUGGAGGGCCUCCCAUCCUUCACCUUCCUUAAGCAGCUUUUUCUUCAGUCCAUUUUUCCCAAUCUCUUUCUCCUCACCAACUUUGAGGAUUGGGUUAACGGGGUCAUCUUGUGGGAUGUCCAUAUUUUCUUCUUCUUCAUCCAUGUUGUUGGCGGUUGGGAACUCGAAAUCGUCUUUCAUGGUUUGCGAGAUUAGCUGAGAGGAAAAUUUGAGCUUUUGAGUUAAGCAAUUAGCACAUGGUUGAAGGUCUUUCUCUGAUUAAUGCAAAGUGAUCUGAAACUACAGGAAUUUAAAGGUGAAGACGGAGAGAGUCCAGAGGCUCUAAAAGCUAACAGUCUAAAGAUAGUUCCAGAAUUCUCCCUUCUCUUUUUAGAGCCUUUGACACUGUCGUUGAGAUUAGGGCUGUAAACGAGCCAAGCCGAGGGGAAUAGUGAGAAGCUCGAGCUCGAACUUGACUCAUAAUUUGAGGUUCGAUACUUUAUUUGAGUUCGAUCGAAUUUUAUUUUUGAAGCUCGAGCUCGAUUUGUGAUCGAAUUCGAGCUACUCAAGCUCACUCGAUUAAGCUCGAUUAAUAUGUAAAAAUAAGCUCGAUUCGUAUACUCGACAAGAGUUCGAUUAUUUAUGCUCGAAUUCGAACUCGAAAUAUUUUAUUAAUUAAAAUAAUAAACAUAUAUUUAAAUAUAAAAGCUCGAUUAGGCUCGCAAGCUACUCGAAUCAGAUAUAAAAAUACUCAAAUUCGACUCGAUCGAUAAAUCGAGCUACUCGAGCUCGAGCUCACUCGACAAUAAUUGAACCGAAUUCGAAUUUUUUUCGAAUCGAAUCCGAAAUAACUUAUGAAUACUAAUGUAUCAUUUAUACCCCUAAUUGAGAUCUUCGCGCUUCUAUGAGAGCGCCUUAGGAUCUAUUGGUGCGUGGCAUGGCAUUUAAAUAAUUUGAUUUUUUUUUAAGUUCUUAAAUUACUUUUAAACUCUUUAUCUAACAACAUAAUUUAUUAAAGAGAAUAUUAUGCAUUUAAAUUUUUUCGAUUAUAUAAUAUUUAAAUAUUAAUUUUAAUAAUAUGUCAAUUAAUUUAAAAAUUAAUUAAUUGAUUAUUUUUUUUUAUAUAUAAUUCGAGUAAGAUAAAUUAUUUGAUGCAAUAAAAUUUUUUAAUUGUAUAAUCAAAGAUAAGAUAAGAAUAUAUACUUUAUUUUUUAAAAUAUAUACUAAAAUAUUUGUGUUAUUAUUUUAAUUUUGUUUAUGAAAUUAAAAAAUUUUGUUUUUCAAUAUAUUUAAUAAUUUCUCAUUCUAGUAAAUUCAAACAAAAACUAUAAGCUUCAAAUCCUAUUACAUGUAAAUUUAAUUAUUUAAUUAUAUUUUAAAUUAUUAGUUGAUUAUUUAGCGAUUGUAACUUAUUAUAAUAGAAUAAUUGAUUAUUUGACUAUUUAUAUGAAUAUAAUACUUAAUUAUAAUUAUAAUUUUAAAAUAACUUAAUUUAAAUAAUUUCAUUCGUUUUAUUUAAUUUUGAUAUGAAUCUAUUAGAAAAUUUUUUUAUUCAGUUACUUUGAUCAAUUACCGAUUUUUAAAAUUUAUAAUGAAAUAAAACAAAUUAAUCUAAUCUAUUAAUUUAUUUUUAAAUAUAAUAUAAAUACAAUAUAAUUUACAUAACAUUUUAAAAUCUUAUAUAUAAUACAAUAUAUAAUAAAAUAUAAAAUAACUUUCAUGUAAAAGAAAAUAAAUAUUUAAAAAAUCAUUUAUAAGUCUCAAUCGAUAUUAAAUAUACCAUUUUACAAAUAAACAUCUCUUAAUUCAUGAAUAAUCAUCACUUUUGAAACGACACAACAAAAUUUUUAAAUUUUCUAUAAAAAAAUUCAAAUGCCCUUGCCAUAAUAUUCAUUGCAACGUUCGAAGUCAUAGAAUCUCUAAGCCAAAUCAAUUGCCCCUAUUGGAUAUUUCUACUUAACUCUUUGCUAAUUUCAUUGGCUUUUAAUUAACAUUUAUUGGUUGGAGUGAUUAAAAAUUUUAAUUUUUUUAUAUAAAAUUUUGAUUUUGAAUAUUAUAAAUAAAAAAAUAUUUAUUAAAAAUAUUUAUUUUUUUAUAAGAUCCGAUUUGAUUCAACUUUAAAUUAGUUAACAUUCAAAAUAGCUACUUGACAUUGAAGAUCUUAGACAAAAAAAAAAAUUUCAUUGGUUUUUUAGUAAAUUUGGAGCAAAUCAUUACAAAAGCAUGGAACUCUUUUGAAACAAAAGUUGGUUUUGUCUAAAGCUUGAGACAACAUGUUAUUCAUUAAGUCACAACUUGUAAUAAAUUUAAUUGUUUGUCUCAUAAUGUCCAAAUCACUUUUGAUUUUGUUUUUAAUAAGUUUGACCACCCAUCUCUUUCUAUAAUGCUUCAUAAUACUAUCUUCUAAAGUCAUGUUUAUAUAUCUAACCUAAUAUUCUCAUUUCAACCAUGCUAUUUUUUUUUUUAGGGGGUUUAUUAUUAUGUCUAGCAAAGUUAUUUCUUAAGUAAAUUCAAGAUUUUAUUUAAUUAUUUUAUAAAAUCAUUUUUAUAAAAUAAUAUCUAAUAAAUUUAUUUAAGAUUCAAUAACUUCUAUUAUAAAAAUACAUUUGGGCAGUUGGAUGCCCGACAGAAGGUGGUAGGAUGUCCAAUCAGGAAAGCAUUUUGUCUUAGAAAUGAACUUAGCCCAUUUAAGAUUCAAAAAUAAUUUGAAAGUUUUAAAAUUUGGGAUAUUUAGUUUUGAGUUCAAAUCUUAUUUUAAGCGAAUUUAUUCUAAUUUUAUGCUUAAUUUUAUUAAUUUAAAAUAACAAAAUUCCCUAAGACUUGAUUUGGAUUUAAAAAUAGCCUCGAUGAGUUGUGAUUAGAGAUGCUAAUUGUGAUACAAAUUAAAUGAUAAAAAUUCAUCUAGAUACAAUAAAAAUAUAAAAUUUUAUUUAAAAAAUUAGAAUCGUUCAAGAUUUUUUUUUAUAGUAAUUUAGCCUUUCAAAUUUAACCUCAUUUUAUUUUAUUUUUUCAACAUUUGUCAUUCGUUUGUCUUCCUUUAAAUUUUUUAUUUAAAAGUUUUCAAAUGGUUUUUGUUUAACAAGAUCAAAUUAUUAAUUUUAAUUAUUUAUUAACAAAAUUAAUAUUUAAUAUAAAAUAAUUUAAUAAAAUUUAAAUAAUUUAAAUUUUAUUAUUACAUUUAAAUUUUAAUUUAAUAUCUUUAAUAAUUAUUUUUUAUUUAAUUGUAAUUCAUCUCAAGAUCAAAUUAUUUUUACAUUCAAACAUAUAUCCAUAAUUAAUUUUAAUUUUAUAUUAUUAUAAUCAAUUUAAUAACUAAUUGAAUCUUUAUUUUUUUUUAAUUUUACUAUUUAUCGAAACAGAUCAUAAACUUAAAUAACUAUUUGGAAUGAGCAAAAUCAAUUUUAAUCAAUUUAAUGAACCGAAACCAAUUGAACUUCGUCAAGUAAGUUCAGUAUGAUUUUGAUAAUGAUUAAUUAAAAGAAUAUUUAAUUGAUUAAUUAGAUUGAUUUUUAAUAGUUAAAAUUAAUAUUAAUGUAUUUAAAAAAAAAUAUUAAUGUAAAGCAAACUAGAACGUGAUUGUUGAAUCUUGAAGCAAAAUUUGAGGGAUUUUAUUGUACUAAAAUAAUCCAAAAGAAAUCCAAAUCCUAAUGCAUCGGUACAAGAAUGGAAAGCACGUAACCUCCCCUAAUUACAAAUCUUCCCUAUAAAUACCCACUUUUUAGUGCAAGUUCAUUUCUCGCUUUUCAAAACACAGCUCCUCCGUUCUCUCUUUGUCUCUCGGUGACCCCUUUCUCUCCAGUUUCUCCUGGGGGGUCGCCCAAAAUCAGAAAAAAAAAAUAAAAAAAAGAAAAAAAGAACCUAAUUUUCUCAUUCAAUUCCUAAAUUGAUAUUCAAAUCAAGUUUUAAAAAAAUUGUUUUCAGUUUUUUCAAUUAAUUUUCAACUUCGUCGGAAAUGGCGAACGCGGAUCCUGAAGGGAUAGACGCCGUACGGAUGACGUGGAACGUUUGGCCGCGCACCAAAGUCGAAGCCAGCAAGUGUGUGAUUCCGUUAGCGGCUUCAAUUACUCCGAUCCGUUCACACCCGGAUAUCCCAACGCUCCCUUACGCUCCUCUACGAUGCAAGACGUGUUCCGCCGUCCUCAACGCCUACUCGCGCGUUGACUUCACGGCCAAGAUCUGGAUCUGCCCGUUCUGUUACCAGCGUAACCAUUUUCCGCCUCACUAUGCUAUGAUCUCCGAAACGAACCUGCCAUGCGAACUCUACCCGCAAUACACCACUGUGCAGUACACGCUCCAACCGAAUCCCGAUCCAAACAACCCUUCCAAUGCUCCUCAAUUGCCACCAGUGUUUGUGUUCGUGUUGGACACGUGCAUGAUCGAGGAGGAGCUUGGGUUUGUUAAAUCGGCGAUGAAGCAGGCUAUUGGAUUAUUGCCAGAACACGCGCUUGUCGGUUUCGUUUCUUUUGGGACUCAGGCACAGGUCCAUGAAUUGGGGUUCUCGGAUAUGUCGAAGGUCUAUGUUUUCAGGGGUAGUAAGGAGAUUUCCAAGGAGCAAGUGUUGGAGCAGUUGGGCCUCGGUGCUGCUGGGCGGCGGCCAACCGCUGGGUAUCCGAAGGGCCUGCAAAAUGGAUAUACAAAUACCGGCGUUAACCGGUUUUUAUUGCCUGCUUCAGAUUGCGAAUACACUCUCAAUUCGGUGCGUUUUGAUUUUUCUUUUUGUCGUGGGAAUUAAUUUUUUAAAUGUUUGAAUUUUUUUAUUAAGUGGUUGGUUGAUUUUAAUGUAGUUAUUGGAUGAGUUGCAAACGGAUCAAUGGCCUGUACAAGCGGGACACCGGGCGUUGAGGUGCACCGGAGUGGCCUUAAGUGUUGCAGUAGGAUUGCUUGGAGCCUGCUUGCCCGGUACUGGUGCUAGGAUUGUUGCUUUGGUUGGUGGCCCAUGUACUGAAGGGCCAGGCACGGUAAUGCCAUUAAAGUCUCUGUUUAGAUUCUGAAUUCGUAGCUAUUCUACAAUUAAGUGAUACAAUCGUUAGUGAGGCAUUUAUCAUUUGUUUUCUCAUGAACUGUAUGUAGUUUAUGGGAUCUAACGCAAAUAAUAUGUGAUGGUUGAGAUGGAUAUGGUAUGUUGUAAUUAGUAUGAACUUUAUUUUUGCUGCAAUCCUGAAUGUUCCAUUUGCUGUUGUUUCAAUAAUAUAUUUUUGCAUUUUACUUUUCUCUAUGGUUACAACUUUUUUUUUUUGUGUAAAUAAUGUAAAGUUUCUGUCCCAUGGUUUUUUGGGGAUGAUAUUUGAUAAAAGCUGCAGGCAAUCCAUACAGAAGCAAAAUGAAUUUGUAGACAGAUCACAACAACUGGAGCCCAUUGUAAUAUGAAACAUGGCUAUGUUUAGAGGCUCCAUCUUUGUUUGAUUAGCUUUGAAUGUUGGUGCAUUUACUUUGUACAAUUGGUUAAAAAGAGAAAUUUUAUUUCAUAAAGAUUAUUCCUGUUAGCUCCAUUAUGUCUACAACGUUUUUGUCAAACUUUCAUGUUACCCUAUAGUUUCAUAUAGCUUGUUGGCUUGUUGCCUUAAUGUUUGCUGUUUCUUUGUGCAAGACAAGUGUCGUUCUUAAUUACAUUGUAGUUGUAGGAAUAAUUCAUACGCAACAAUGAUUUAAUUGAGAAAAUGGAGAUUAAGCAAAUAAUCUUCAUUUGAGCAUUGCUUCUUGUUUAAUUUGUAUUAACAUUCUUGGUUGUCAUCAAGAUGAUACUGAUUUAUAUGAUUUUUGCAGAUUGUAUCGAAAGACUUGUCAGAACCUGUACGUUCACAUAAAGAUCUGGAUAAGGAUGCUGCACCAUAUUUUAAGAAAGCGGUCAAAUUUUAUGAUAGUCUUGCAAAACAGCUGGUCAGCCAGGGUCAUGUACUAGACCUUUUUGCAUCUGCACUUGAUCAGGUCUGUUUGGCCACCUUUUAGGUUCUAUAUUUAUAUUUAAACUCAUUUUUGUUCAUGAAUCUGUCUAUAUGCCAGAACUAGGUUGAUUUGCUUCAAUGCACUUAUGUCAUACCUAUAAUGUGUUGGCUUUCAUCUUCUGUCCAACCUAGUUAGAAGUUGCAUCACUCUAUUAAUAAGGAUGGAGUCAUUAGACAAAACUUUUUGGUUCUUUCCCGCCUUCUUAAUCGGUCCGAUGGAUUGAAGAAGCUGCUGAAGCUGAUAGGAUACAAGGACCCUAAUUUUAUUUGGAAACUUGAACAACCCAAUAUGUAAUUCUUACUUUACAAAACUCUCUCUCUCUCAUUUAUAAUUUACCAAUUAUUUAAGACAGUGGAAAUAUGAGGACAUUAAGGCUUGAUUUUUGCCAUGCUUCUUCAAUUUGUGGGCUGUGAUGUAAAUGUUUUAUUGUGUAGAAAACUGUGGAUGACUGGAUUCUAAUAGUUAUUGCAUUUACCAUGGGUACAAACCUUUUAUUUUAAAUGAAUGUCAAUAAUUUCAGACAUUAAUAAUCUUCUAAAUGUUAACUGUACAUAAAUAUGUUAUGGUUUUUUUGUGUGUUGUCAGGUUGGAGUUGCUGAAAUGAAAGUUGCAGUUGAAAGGACAGGUGGCCUUGUUGUUCUAGCUGAAAGUUUUGGUCAUUCUGUAUUCAAAGACUCUUUCAAGCGUGUCUUUGAGGAUGGAGAACAGUCUCUUGGCCUAUGUUUUAAGUUAGUUCUUGUCACCACACCAAAACUUCUUGUUCUUUUUCAACUUUUUAGGUUUACUUUUCUCUUCUCUUAUCCAUGUUGUUGAUAACUAUAUAGUUGCAUUCUUAAUUGGUGAACUUGCAUUUUUAUUCCAGUUCUAGUUGUCCUUGUAUUAUUUGUUUGAGUUCUAGAUGUGCCAACCACCCCGUGUGCCUUUAACUUAGUUGUGACACCAUUCACACUAGGUGAUGCUGCUGUUAGAGAAUGUAAAUUUUUGACAUAGCUUGCUGACCUUGCUAUUCUGCUGGAAGCAGAGCACAAGUUUAUCAAAUUGGUAUAUGAAAAUUACUAUACACUGGUAUUCUAUAUUGGCGUUACCCUUUUGGCUUCAUAGGUUUUCUAAAUGUUGCCAAUGCCUGUGCUUGUAUUGUUGAAAGAGGUGUUAGUAUUAUGACGCUGCAGUGGGAGUGUUAUUGUUGAUUUCUGUUAAAAUCCUGAUUUUAAAUUUAAUGCUGAUUGCCAGAAAUGAACUCUCACUACCAUGUGGUUACCCAUGAAAUUAAUUUAUAUGGUCCGGCAUUAGCUUUAAUUUUGCAAUUGCUUUAGCUUAAGCUUUUUUAUCCACAUGCAUUAUCUGUAAUUUAUGAUUGGCUAUGGCAUGGUUUGGAGCACCCAGAAAUUUCAACUAUUUUAGCUGUAGUAUAAAAUUUCAAACUUAUUAUAAGCUACUUUUUUUUUUUUAAUUUUUCUUUUUAGUGGCAUGCUCGAGAUUAACUGUUCAAAAGACAUCAAGAUUCAGGGGGUCAUUGGACCUUGCACAUCUUUGGAGAAGGUUGGAUGAUUUAACAAUUUAAUAACAUCUCUUGGCCUCUCUAUAUAGAGACACACUCUAAACUGUAGACUGGAUUUACUUGUAUUUAUGGGCAUUUAAGCUGAUUAGCAUGAGUGUUGCAGAAAGGACCUAAUGUCGCCGACACAGUCGUUGGGGAGGGGAACACUACAGCAUGGAAAAUGUGUGGUCUCAACAGGAGUACUUGCUUGACGGUUUUAUUUGAUCUUUCAUCAACUGAGCGAUCAAAUGUUCCAGGAGCUGCAAAUCCACAGCUCUAUUUGCAAUUUCUUACUAGGUUUGCUGCAUGAACCACCCAAAAGGGUCCUUUUAUUUACCUUAAUGUUAAAUAUAUUUGAUUGUUUCUUUACUUUGUUCCUUUAGUAAUUUGAUCAGUGUUGUUUAAGGCAAGUGCCCAGGUGUUGUGCUUGGUGCCAGAUAACAAAAGUGCCUCUAAGUGCAUUUGAUCAGGUGCCACACCUGGUGCACUUUUUUAAGGCAGUAGGCGCAAAAAAGCCUGCCUUGUUGAAGUUCUCUUUAAUUUCUUUAAUUUUUAAUUUUUUCGUAAACUCUACCUUUAGUAGUGAAAAUAAAAAGGACAAUAUUGAGCUCUCUACUUCUCAAUGUUUGAGUAUUCAACAAUAAACAUGGGAUCAUAACGAAAUCAUGCAUAUUGGCCAAAAAAUGAACAGGAAAAUUUUGCAUGUUUCGUCGGAUAACUGGAUCACCCUUAAGAGUUUAUUAUCAGAAAUCUUAAGCAUAUUAUAUACAUAGAUGCACAUGUACAAAAACACACGCUUAGACAUAUUGCGCCUUAUUUCACUUGGGUGAGGGCUUUUUUUGCACCUUGUCUCUCCGGCAAUAUAAGGGUUCAAGUGCCUAGUGCCCAUCUUGUUCCCUUGACAACACUGAAUUUGAUUGUGAUGUUGUUUAUCUAAUUGCAGUUAUCAGGACCCUGAAGGUAAAAUGAUGCUUCGAGUUACGACUGUGACAAGACAAUGGGUAGACAGUGCUGUUAGUGCAGAGGUUAGUUUAGAUAAGUGUCAUUUUCAUUUUUUCCAUUUCAUCCAUUUUUGUGUUUUGUUAAAUAUGUCCCAUUUGGCCACAUUUAAGAGUUUUUUUUUUUUUUUGGGGGGGGUUUAUAGGGUGUGUUAAAUUUAGACAUGGUAUGUUGUCUGAUGUGUAUAAAUGUCACUGCCAUAUGCAUCUUGGAAUCCGUAUAUAUGAUUGCAUUAUUUUUUGUUGGAAUUAAUUUAUGCUGGGGGGUAUAGGACAUGGUUUUUUUCUAAUGCAUAUAAAUGUCACUUGCCAUAUGCGUUGUUGUUUGUAUAUAUGAUUGAUUAUUUCGUUGGCAGAAUUUGAUGGAAUUAAUUUAUGCUUACUUUCAAUAAUAUCUCCUUCUAGGAACUAGUACAAGAGUUUUGAUCAAGAGGACUGCGGCUGUUGUAAUGGCAAGAAUAGCUUCCCUGAAAAUGGGAGACAGAGGUAUUUAAAAAAUCUUUAUAUUCAUUUUCUUAAGUUUGUUGAUUUCUUGUGUUGGAUGUAUUCACUGUCAACCUAUAGCUUAUUUAGCUGAUACCUUCUGCUUAAUUAUUUAUGAUUUUUUUAUCAAAUAAUGUCCACUCUUUUUCUGUAUUUGUAUUAUUGAUAAGAACUUUCUCUCUUUAACUUUUUGCCCUAUUGUUUUGUGGUUCUCUCUACUUGCUUUUCUCCUAGCCUUGACCUGCCCCCUUUUUUAUAUUUUCUAUCUAUUAUUUGUUGACCCCUUGCCAAUACAAUAACAUGGUUAAAUGUUGCUUGUGAUAAUUUUUUCUCAUUAAUUAUUUUUGUCUUUUUGUUUCAUUAGGAGGGGUUUGAUGCUACACGGUGGUUAGAAUCGGAAUCUUCAUUCGACUUGUUCCAAAUUUUGGCGACUACCAGAAGAGAUGAUCCAUCCAUCUUUUACCUUAAACCCGUUGCUUUGUCUUUGUUUCCUCAAUUUAUGUUUUAAUCUGCGGCUGGUCACAAUUUGUACAGGUAAAUUGUUUUCUUUUUUCUAAUUUCCUACUGUUUAUAUAACAUUUUAAUGUGACCUAUGUUCAUAAAUGAACUUUCUUUCCGUUUUAUGUGGCAGGUUCUUUAACAACAGUCCAGAUGAAAACUUGGCCUAUUUUAGAAAUGUUAUGAACAGGGAAAAUAUAACUAAUGCAGCUGUUAUUGAUUCAACCAUCAUUAAUAUCAUAUUCAUUCAACUCGCUGCCCCAACCAGCAUUAUUGGAUGUGGCUUCCAUUUCAGCUGACCGUAUUCUCUUGCUGGAAUUCAUAUUUCAGUAUUGUUGUUUUCCAUGGUAUGACAAUAGCGCAGUGGCGCAACAUGGGCUACCAGAAUCAGCCGGAACACCAGGUAUGUUUAUUUUGUUUAUGCUACUGUUAAUCUAGAGUUUAAUGUAAGAUUUCUUUAGAAACCAUUACAUUCAUAAUGUUCCAAAGUGACUUUCAGGAAACAUGCCUGAUGUUGGUCUUCUUUUUACAUUAAGAUAAUAAUGUUUGAUCACUUUUCAGUUUGAGAUAAGCUGGAGCUGUGGUGAUUUUGAGGUCUCUCUAAGCCAGUAGUAAAGUUUUAUUAUUCUUAUUAUAAUAUUACUCAUUCUUGUGGGAUAUUAUCCUAAACUACUGACAGAAGAAAAACCCCUUGUACCACCACCUUGUAGCUCUGAAAUGGAAAACUAUGAGGUUAAUCAUAAUGAUAUGCUAAAAUAUAGUGAAUAUUAUGAAUUUCUUCUAAAAUAGAGUAUGCUUUGUUGGAUAAGGCUGGUGCAUAGUCGUGUUUGUUGAAAUGACUCCUGGCAUCAUAUAUUGGACCAGUUUAUAGGAUUAAUAAGCGUUUUAUGCAUACUUUAUAAUGUCUCAUUUCUAAAGCUAAAUAAUUGCUCAUUUUAUGUUCAUCUGGCAAUGCUUUACUCUAAGCUAUAGGAAGAGGAUGCCAAUAAGAUAUCCUUACCAGGCAAUUGGCUUUAUUUAACCUGGUUCUAUCUUUACCGGUUUAAGAACUUUCAUUGAUAAUUUUUGUAUUUUGCUUACUGACUUUCUCCUAUGUCAUAUAGUGGCUUAUAACCUAGGUGCUGGUUUUGAACUUCAAUUUUCUUGCUAUAUGAUGUACUUCUUGUACUUUUGCACUUCUGUUAUUUUGGGAGAGUUAAAAUUUGUAUAAUAGAGGAACAUAGGGACUUGUUCCAGGGGUGAGAGAUAUGGUAUAUGGCAUAUUUUGUUUGCAAUGUCCAUUUAUUUGUUAAGCUCUGAAUUUGCAAUAUUAUAUUAGAUUGUUGGGAAUUUGCCUGUUCUUCAAUGAAGUUCUAAUGCAGCUUAAGUUCCAACUGGUUAGUACCCAAUAUCUAUGUUCCUACAGUCUAUGAUUCUGUUGUCUAAACCUUAAUUUUUUUUUUCAACAGGCAUUUGCCACAGCUUUUGCAAGCACCCCAUGUCGAUGCCCCAGAUGAUUAUUCGGGAACGCUUCCCUGUCCCUAGAUUGGUUGUAUGUGAUCAGCAUGGAUCCCAGUCAGUACAUUUCUUAAACUGAUAUUUUUGGAGAUAUUAAAAUAUGUCCUUGAUUUGUCCUUUGUGAAUUUCAUCAUUUUUAAAUAGAUGCUACUACAAAGUGUCGCUUCUAUCUGAAUUUAUUUUAAAUUUGCAACACAAUCUUUAAGAAAUUUACCACUUUCUAAAGUACAUUUGUUAUGGUGGUUAAACCGAGAGUGCAAGUACAUCUAAUUUGCUCCGAAUUCUUUGCACAAAUCCUCAGAAGCUUGAUAAAGGUAGCAAGCACAGACUGUUUUAUUGUUACAAUUUAGCUUGAUCAUUCAGCAUUUCUGGUUCAUGGUACCUUCUGUGGGUUUAGCGUUGAUAACUUUUUUUUCCGCUAUGAUGUGAUCACUAUAUUCUUCUAUUCAUCUAGUUUCGUGUUCAUCUCGACCUUUUCCUUCAGUCUGAUGUUACGGUUGGGUAGCAGCAUAUAGCUAUCUUAAUAUUUCCUUAUUUCGUUGCUUUUUCCCAUUUAUAGUGAAUUUGAACUGGUUAGCAGUAGAUUGGGGACCUUACCAAUUGUUUCGGUGUUUUUUUUUUUUUUUUUUGUGACCUUACUGACUAUCUAGUUUGGAAUAUCCUGAUGCAAAUAUAUUCCUUUGUUAUCUAUCAUACAAUGAUUUUGAAAAGCUAGGCUGUCUUGAGCUAAGCUAUCCUUGCCCCUUAGUAUGAGUAUCACCUUUUUAGGUACACCUAAAGGGCACUUGGGGAAAUCAUUUACCAUUUAGCAGUAUUAUGUGGCUGCAUGUUUUCCUGUACAGUUUUGCACAGAUACCAGUAACUGGUUUUCUAUGUUGUGAAUUCUUCGUUCACAAUGUAACAGAUGCAGUGAGCCAAAGUUUCACAAGUGUUGGGUCUGAAUUGAACCAUGCCAAAUCCCUCUAAUCAAAUCCACAAAAAAGAGGGGUGUCAUGAUUGUGGCUUUGCUACUUUUGGGUCCAUUAAUCGAGCUUCUGUACUUGAUUUGCAAAGCCAAAGUUUCUAAUAUUAAUAAUUCAAUACCCCCCUCCCUUUCCAUUUUUUGUUACUCACCAAGCCAAUUCUGUAUUUUACCUUGAAGGCAUAAAAUUGUUAACUCUUUUUAAAAAAAAAAAUAAAUUGGGCUUUUUACAUUACCCAAGUGGCUUAUUUUUGUUUCCUUGUGCAGGCAAGAUUUUUGUUAGCAAAGUUGAACCCAUCAGCAACAUACAAUAAUGCCACCGAUGUAGCUGUUGGAUCAGAUAUAAUCUUUACGGAUGAUGUAAGCUUACAAGUCUUCUUCGAGCAUCUUCAGAGGUUGGCUGUGCAAUCUUGAUUGUAGAAAAUAGUUGAAACACUUUGGUUUCUAGUACGGGAAAUCCCCUCAGUGUGAGUUCUGUAUCCUGUUAUACAUCCUCUGGUCCUUCGGUUCUUUUUCCUUUCCAUAAAUUUCAUCAACAAGAGGUCAGACCCCACGAUAUUUGGGGAAAUAAGGGAUAGCAAAUAUCAUUCUUUGGGGGCGCCGCUGCGUUGGAGAGGUAUUUGCGUUCCUUGAACGAAAUAAGGGAUGCGACAAAGAGGUCAGUCUGAGUUUUUACAUUUUAUAGGGAGAGGAAGGUAUAUGAUGAUGAGAAUGUAAGUUUGAGGAUCCCCUGUUUCAGUAGGAAUAUAUUUAGACAGGAAUUUUUUUCUCCUUUUGUGAAUUCAAUCAGGUCACAGUUGGAUAUGUUUGUGUACUGAAUUUCAGGUCAUAUACUCAUUGCCUAGGUUGAGAACAUGGUUCAUUUUGUUUUUUUUUGUCUCAGCCCACACUUCAAAGUUCAAAGUACCUAGGUUGAAAUUCAAAGACUCCUUUCUGGUUUGGUAAGUCAUAAGCUGAUGGAAUCAGGAUUUUUGUUUCAUAAUGGUUCAUUUUCUUUUUAAUUUUUUGCAAAUUUUUUUGGAAAGGCAGUGGUAGCAAACCAAUUAACUAAGUGAAUUAAGAAACAGGCUUGGCGAGGAAAGAGCUGAGAAAAUGAUAUUAAAAAAAAAGGGAAGAAACAAUGUAAAAUGAGGGGGAAAAUAAAAAAUGAAACAAAAUAGCGGGAAAAAGCUAAUGUAAAAGAAAAAAAAAAGAACAUAGAGGAAAUAAAAAUGAAAAAAAUAAAACGAAAUUAUAAUAUAAAAUUAAAUUUGAUAAUCUUAAAUAAGUUAAAGGUGAUACAAUACGAAUGUAAUAUUAAAAAUAAAAAUAAUAUGAUUUAAAUUAUAAUAAAAUUUAUAUAUGAUAAAAAUUAAAAUUAAAAAAUAUUUUGUAUGUAAAGAAUUAGCGUGAAUUAUGAUAUUUUAAUUUUUGUUUUUUUAUGAAAUAAAUAUUAAUUUUUUUAUUAACUAUAUUUAUAUAAAAUAUUAAUAAAGCCCCGCUCCCGCUAAAAUUCAAAAAUCAACUGCUUUCUCUCUCCGAAAAUGUUGAUGGAAGAUUCACAAGAACCGGACGUCCCUUUCUCUCUCGAUCAAGAACCAGCUAUAAUCCAAUGCUCCCAAGGCCACCGGACCACCCUCUCCCUCCGCACCGAACAAGGCGGCUCGAUCUGCCUCCUCUGCCUCUCCAACCUCAUCUCCAACCCACGCGCUCCCACUCUCCACGUCUCCUACGCUCUCGCCCAACUCUGCAACGCUAUUUCCCAACCUCUUUUCCUUAANNNNNNNNNNNNNNNNNNNNNNNNNNNNNNNNNNNNNNNNNNNNNNNNNNNNNNNNNNNNNNNNNNNNNNNNNNNNNNNNNNNNNNNNNNNNNNNNNNNNNNNNNNNNNNNNNNNNNNNNNNNNNNNNNNNNNNNNNNNNNNNNNNNNNNNNNNNNNNNNNNNNNNNNNNNNNNNNNNNNNNNNNNNNNNNNNNNNNNNNNNNNNNNNNNNNNNNNNNNNNNNNNNNNNNNNNNNNNNNNNNNNNNNNNNNNNNNNNNNNNNNNNNNNNNNNNNNNNNNNNNNNNNNNNNNNNNNNNNNNNNNNNNNNNNNNNNNNNNNNNNNNNNNNNNNNNNNNNNNNNNNNNNNNNNNNNNNNNNNNNNNNNNNNNNNNNNNNNNNNNNNNNNNNNNNNNNNNNNNNNNNNNNNNNNNNNNNNNNNNNNNNNNNNNNNNNNNNNNNNNNNNNNNNNNNNNNNNNNNNNNNNNNNNNNNNNNNNNNNNNNNNNNNNNNNNNNNNNNNNNNNNNNNNNNNNNNNNNNNNNNNNNNNNNNNNNNNNNNNNNNNNNNNNNNNNNNNNNNNNNNNNNNNNNNNNNNNNNNNNNNNNNNNNNNNNNNNNNNNNNNNNNNNNNNNNNNNNNNNNNNNNNNNNNNNNNNNNNNNNNNNNNNNNNNNNNNNNNNNNNNNNNNNNNNNNNNNNNNNNNNNNNNNNNNNNNNNNNNNNNNNNNNNNNNNNNNNNNNNNNNNNNNNNNNNNNNNNNNNNNNNNNNNNNNNNNNNNNNNNNNNNNNNNNNNNNNNNNNNNNNNNNNNNNNNNNNNNNNNNNNNNNNNNNNNNNNNNNNNNNNNNNNNNNNNNNNNNNNNNNNNNNNNNNNNNNNNNNNNNNNNNNNNNNNNNNNNNNNNNNNNNNNNNNNNNNNNNNNNNNNNNNNNNNNNNNNNNNNNNNNNNNNNNNNNNNNNNNNNNNNNNNNNNNNNNNNNNNNNNNNNNNNNNNNNNNNNNNNNNNNNNNNNNNNNNNNNNNNNNAAUUGGCCAACAUUUGCAUAGCAUGCAUUGAAAUUCAUAUGCAUUUGCAUAGCAUACACUACUUUCAGGAAAGUAUAGUGUACAAAUUCAAGAAGCAGGGGUGUUCCAACAUCCCACAUGAAAAAGACAAAUAUGAAAAGACUUUGCAAGUUUGAGAAGAAACUUGUUAGGUAAGUUCCUAAUCCUUGAAAUAGGACGUCUCUUGGUAUCAGGGUUGAUUUAUAAGACCUUUGGGCAUGAUCUCCUGAAAUUCUCUCAAACACAACUUUCAACUCCUUCGGACAUGAUUGUCUAGGAGAAUUUACUUUUCCAAAGUCGUGGUACCUUUGUUUAGAGGAGCAAUUUACUUUUCAAAGUUCGUUGCCUCUGUUUAGAGGAGCAAUUUACUUUUCCAAAGUCGUGGUGCCUCUGUUUAGAGGAGCAAUUUAUUUUUCAAAGUUUCGUUGCCUCUGUUUAGAGGAGCAAUUUAUUUUUCCAAAGUCGUGGUACCUCUGUUGAGAGGAGCAAUUUACUUUUCCAAAGUCGUGAUACCUCUGUUGAGAGGAGCAAUUUACUUUCCAAAGUCGUGGUGCCUCUGUUUAGAGGAGCAAUUUACUUUUCCAAAGUCGUGGUGCCUCUGUUUAGAGGAGCAAUUUACUUUUCCAAAGUCGUGGUACCUCUGUUGAGAGGAGCAAUUUACUUUUCAAAGUGCGUGGUGCCUCUGUUUAGAGGAGCAUUUACUUUUCAAAGUCGUGGUGCCUCUGUUGAGAGGAGCAAUUUAUUUUUCCAAAGUCGUGGUGCCUCUGUUUAGAGAACUUCGGCAAAAAAACAAAAAAAAAACAAAAAAACAAAAAAACAAAAAUUUUUUUUAAAAAAAAGAUCAAAAAAUAAAAAUGUUGAGUUGAGUCUUGAUUGGUGUCUACGUCUUUGCGCAAUUUCUGUUUCACAGAAAAUGUGCAAAGAGGGCAGCUGUAGACACCCAAUUGGGGUCGGCCCAGCAUCAAUUGAGCCUGCCCAAAUAGUAGGGCCCAAUUCAAUUUGUCCUGUAUUAUUUUGUAUUUUAUGUAUUUAUUAUUAUGUAUAUAUUUAUUUAUUAUUAUUUUUUUUUAGAUUAGAUUUAUAUGUAUAUAGUUAUAUAUUUAUUAUUAUCUGUUCUGAUUUUUCCUGAUUAUCAGAUUUUUUUUUACUAUAAUAUCUUUUGAUUUAUCUUUUCUAAUUAUCUAGUAUUUUUUAUUUAUUUUGAUUUUAAUUUUGGAGGGCUAAGAUUCAAGGCUGAAGAAUCCCACUGUGGAGGGGAACUCAAUCAGAAGAGUCCAGUGGGAUUCAAAGAUUGAAUUCCUGUCCAAGGAGGAAUUGGGAUUGAUCAGGAACUCCUGAUCAAUCCCUAUAAAAGGGACCCUCCUGGGACAGAUCAAGGACACACAGAAAACAGUAAGCAAAGCUACUGAUUUGAGAGAAAAGGAGGCGUAUAGGAAGCUAAGAAAAGUUUAGGAGUGUUCUGGGAGUGAGGAAAAAUUUUUAGAAAUUUUUGGCGAAAAUUUUUUUCUGGAAAUUUCUGGGAAAUUUCCAGAAUCCGACGAAAAUUCCGGCGAAAUUUGAAUUUUUCGGCAACAAUUCCGGCGAACAUUGAAGUUUCCGGCGACCAGUCCAGUUUUCGCGCGAAGAAUCCCAGAAACCGGCGAUAUUCCGGCCAACUUCCGGCUGAAUUUUCAGAUUUCAGCGAAAAUUUCCAGAAUCCGGCACCGGUGUUCUUCAGUUUCUAGAGAGAAGGGAGAGAAAAAGGAAGAAGAGAGAGAGAGGGGAGAAGCGUUCUGCCAAAAACGGAGGAAGGUGCCUUUUAUACCUUCCCAAAACGACGUCGUUUUGGCCUUAAGUAACCCAGAGGAUCCGCGCGUUUUGUCGAACCCGACCCGACCCGGGCGUCGACCCGCUUUCUGACCCGUGCGUGCCAGCCCCCCUCCGAGCCGAGCCGAGCCGAGCCAAGCCUCCGAAGCCACUCCCCCGAGCCGUUUUCUCUUCCUUGAGCCGAGCCGCGAUCCGAGCCGCUCCAGGUUUUUUUUUUUUGAAUUUUUUUUAUUAUUUCUUUGUUUAUUUGUUUAUUUUAUUUUUUAUUUAUUAUUUAUUAGAUUAGGUUUAUGUAAUAUUCCUUUUAUUUAUUUUUUAUUAUUAUUUUUUCUUUAAAUAAAAAUAAAAAUUCUAAAAAAAUAUAUUUUUGGGGAAAAGUUGAAAGUAUCAAUUUCCUUAAAAGAAAAAUAAAUUUCCAAAAUAAAAAUAUUUUUAGGGAAAAGUUGAAAGUAUCAAUUUUCCUUAGAAAUAAAUUUCCAAAAAAUAUUUUUGGGGAAAAGUUGAAAGUAUCAAUUUUCCUCAGAAGUAAAUUUCAAAAAAAAAUAUUUUUAGGGAAAAGUUGAAAGUAUCAAUUUUCCUUAGAAAUAAAUUUCCAAAAAAAAUAUUUUUACUUAAGAAUAAAUUUGAAAAAAAAUAUUUUUAGGGAAAAGUUGAAAGUAUCAAUUUUCCUUAUAAAUAAAUUUUCAAAAAAAGGGUUUUUGAGGAAAAGUUGAAAGUAUCAAUUUUCCUUGAAAAUCGAAAUUUCCAAAAAAAUAUUUUUGGGGAAAAGUUGAAAGUAUCAAUUUUCCCUAAAAAAAAUCAUUCUUUUCUUCCUUUCUAUCUUAAUUUUGAUUUUGUUUUUUUCUUUAAAUAAUCCGACGACGGAGCCUCUGUAAGUGAAACAGUAGUUUUUCUUGCAUACUCUUGAGGUGAGGGAAUUUUCUCAAUUUUCUGCUAAAAAUAUUAGAGUCAAUUGAGAAAAGUUUUCCAAUAAUUAAUUACUUGGUAAAAUUUUAAGGCUUUUGGAUAACACAAAUUCAAGCUGGUACCAUCUUUUGAUGGGCGUUGUGAGGGUGCUAUAACCUUCCUCACACGUAACCGAACUCCCGAACCCUGUUCUGGUUUGUAGACCCGAACCUAUUCUUUUAGGGGCCCUUAAACUUAGGUGUUCCCUAAAAGGACAGAUUCCAUAGGUGGCCAAUCGCACCUAGAUAAAAAAGAUUGGUGGCGACUCCCUAAAAGUCAAUGUCUAGCGAUAGAUCCCCGGAUCUAGACGUUACGACAAUAAUUAUAAUUUUAAAAUAACUUAAUUUAAAUAAUUUCAUUCGUUUUAUUUAAUUUUGAUAUGAAUCUAUUAGAAAAUUUUUUUAUUCAAUUACUUUGAUCAAUUACUGAUUUUUAAAAUUUAUAAUGGAAUAAAUCAAAUAAAUUAAAUUUAUUAAUUUAUUUUUAAAUAUAAUAUAAAUACAAUAUAAUUUACAUAAUAUUUUAAAAUCUUAUAUAUAAUACAAUAUAUAAUAAAAUAUAAAAUAACUUUCAUGUAAAAGAAAAUAAAUAUUUAAAAAAUCAUUUAUAAGUCUCAAUCGAUAUUAAAUAUACCACUUUAUAAAUAAACAUGUCUUAAUUCAUGAAUAAUCAUCACUUUUGAAACGAAACAACAAAAUUUUUAAAUUUUCUACAAAAAAAACUCAAAUGCCCAUGCCAUAAUAUUCAUUGCAACGUUCGAAGUCAUAGAAUCUCUAAGCCAAAUCAAUUGCCCCCAUUGGAUAUUAUUACUUUUAACUCUUUGCUAAUUUCAUUGGCUUUUAACUAAUAUUUAUUGGUUCGAGUGAUUAAAAAAAUUAAUUUUUUUACAUAAAAUUUAGAUUUUAAAUUUUAUAAAUAAAAAAAUAAAUAUUAAAAAUAUUUAUUUUUUUAUAAGAUCAGUCUUGACUCAACUCUAAGUUAGUCAACAUUUAAAAUAGUUACUUGACAUUGAAGAUCUUAGAUAAAAAAAAAAAAUCAUUAGUUUUUUUAGUAAAUUUGGAGCAAAUCAUUACAAAAGCAUGGAACUCUUUUGAAACAAAAGUUGGUUUUGUCUAAAGCUUGAGACAACAUGUUAUUCAUUAAGUCACAACUUGUAAUAAAUUUAAUUGUUUGUCUCAUAAUGUCCAAAUCACUUUUGAUUUUGUUUUUAAUAAGUUUGACCACCCAUCUCUUUCUAUAAUGCUUCAUAAUACUAUCUUCUAAAGUCAUGUUUAUAUAUCUAACCUAAUAUUCUCAUUUCAACCAUGCUAAUUUUUUUUUUUUUUUGAGGGGGUUUAUUAUUAUGUUUAACAAAGUUAUUACUUAAGUAAAUUCAAGAUUUAAUUUAAUUAUUUUAUAAAAUAAUAUCUAAUAAAUUUAUUUAAGAUUCAAUAACUUCUAUUAUAAAAAUACAUUUGGGCAGUUGGAUGCCCGACAGAAGGUGGUAGGAUGUCCAAUCAGGAAAGCAUUUUGUCUUAGAAAUGAACUUAGCCCAUUUAAGAUUCAAAAAUAAUUUGAAAGUUUUAAAAUUUGGGAUAUUUAGUUUUGAGUUCAAAUCUUAUUUUAAUUGAAUUUAUUCUAAUUUUAUGCUUAAUUUUAUUAAUUUAAAAUGACAAAAAUCCCUAAGACUUGAUUUGGAUUUAAAAAUAGCCUUGGUGAGUUGUGAUUAGAGAUGCUAAUUGUGAUACAAAUUAAAUGAUAAAAAUUUAUCUAGAUACAAUUAAAAUAUAAAUAUUUAUUUAAAAAAUUAGAAUCGUUCAAGAUUUUAUUUUUUUUUAGUAAUUUAGCCUUUCAAAUUUAACCUUAUUUUAUUUUAUUUUUUCAACAUUUGUCAUUUGUUUGUCUUCCUUUUAAUUUUUUAUUUAAAAGUUUCCAAAUGGUUUUUUUUUAACAAGAUCAAAUUAUUAAUUUUAAUUAUUUAUUAACAAAAUUAAUAUUUGAUAUAAAAUAAUUUAAUAAAAUUUAAUAAAUAUUAAAUAAUUUAAAAUUUUGUAUUACAUAUAAAUUUUAAUUUAAUAUCUUUAAUAAUUAUUUUUUAUUUAAUUAUAAUUCAUCUCAAGAUCAAAUUAUUUUUACAUUCAAACAUAUAUCCAUAAUUAAUUUUAAUUUUAUAUUAUUAUAAUCAAUAUAAUAACUAAUUCAAUCUUUAUUUUUUAAAAUUUUACUAUUUAUCGAAACGGAUCAUAAACUUAAAUAACUAUUCAAUAACAAUGGAAUGAGCAAAAUCAAUUUUAAUCAAUUUAAUGAACCGAAACCAAUUGAACUUCGUCAAGUAAGUUCAGUAUGAUUUUGAUAAUGAUUAAUUAAAAGGAUAUUUAAUUGAUUAAUUAGAUUGAUUUUUAAUGUUUAAAAUUAAUAUUAAUGUAUUUCAAAAAAAAAAAAAAAAAAACUAAUGUAAAGCAAACUAGAACGUGAUUGUUAAAUCUUGAAGCAAAAUUUGAGGGAUUUUAUUGUACUAAAAUAAUCCAAAAGAAAUCCAAAUCCUAAUGCAUCGGUACAAGAAUGGAAAGCACGUAACCUCCCCUAAUUACAAAUCUUCCCUAUAAAUACCCACUUUUUAGUGCAAGUUCAUUUCUCGCUUUUCAAAACACAGCUCCUCCGUUCUCUCUUUGUCUCUCGGUGACCCCUUUCUCUCCAGUUUCUCCUGGGGGUCGCCCAAAAUCAGAAAAAAAAAUAAAAAAAGAAAAAAAAACAUAAUUUUCUCAUUCAAUUCCUAAAUUGAUAUUCAAAUCAAAUUAAAAAAAAAUUUGUUUUCAGUUUUUUCAAUUAUUUUUGAACUUUGUCGGAAAUGGCGAACGCGGAUCCUGAAGGGAUAGACGCCGUACGGAUGACGUGGAACGUUUGGCCGCGCACCAAAGUCGAAGCCAGCAAGUGUGUGAUUCCGUUAGCGGCUUCAAUUACUCCGAUCCGUUCACACCCGGAUAUCCCAACGCUCCCUUACGCUCCUCUACGAUGCAAGACGUGUUCGGCCGUCCUCAACGCCUACUCGCGCGUUGACUUCACGGCCAAGAUCUGGAUCUGCCCGUUCUGUUACCAGCGUAACCAUUUUCCGCCUCACUAUGCUAUGAUCUCCGAAACGAACCUGCCAUGCGAACUCUACCCGCAAUACACCACUGUGCAGUACACGCUCCAACCGACUCCCGAUCCAAACAACCCUUCCAAUGCUCCUCAAUUGCCGCCAGUGUUUGUGUUCGUGUUGGACACGUGCAUGAUCGAGGAGGAGCUUGGGUUUGUUAAAUCGGCGAUGAAGCAGGCUAUUGGAUUGUUGCCAGAACACGCGCUUGUCGGUUUCGUUUCUUUUGGGACUCAGGCACAGGUCCAUGAAUUGGGGUUCUCGGAUAUGUCGAAGGUCUAUGUUUUCACGGGUAGUAAGGAGAUUUCCAAGGAGCAAGUGUUGGAGCAGUUGGGCCUCGGUGCUGCUGGGCGGCGGCCAACCGCUGGGUAUCCGAAAGGCCUGCAAAAUGGAUAUACAAAUACCGGCGUUAACCGGUUUUUAUUGCCUGCUUCAGAUUGCGAAUACACUCUCAAUUCGGUGCGUUUUGAUUUUUCUUUUUGUCGUGGGAAUUAAUUUUUUAAAUGUUUGAAUUUUUUUAUUAAGUGGUUGGUUGAUUUAAAUGUAGUUGUUGGAUGAGUUGCAAACGGAUCAAUGGCCUGUACAAGCGGGACACCGGGCGUUGAGGUGCACCGGAGUGGCCUUAAGUGUUGCAGUAGGAUUGCUUGGAGCCUGCUUGCCUGGUACUGGUGCUAGGAUUGUUGCUUUGGUUGGUGGUCCAUGUACUGAAGGGCCAGGCACGGUAAUGCCAUUAAAGUCUCUGUUGAGAUUCUGAAUUCGUAGCUAUUCUACAAUUAAGUGAUACAAUCGUUAGUGAGGCAUUUAUCAUUUGUUUUCUCAUGAACUGUAUGUAGUUUAUGGGAUCUAACGCAAAUAAUAUGUGAUGGUUGAGAUGGAUAUGGUAUGUUGUAAUUAGUAUGAACUUUAUUUUUUCUGCAAUCCUGAAUGUUCCAUUCGCUGUUGUUUCAAUAAUAUAUUUUUGCAUUUUACUUUUCUCUAUGGUUACAACUUUUUUUUUGUGUGUAAAUAAUGUAAAGUUUCUGUCCCAUGUUUUUUUGGGGAUGAUAUUUGAUAAAAGCUGCAGGCAAUCCAUACAGAAGCAAAAUGAAUUUGUAGACAGAUCACAACAACUGGAGCCCAUUGUAAUAUGAAACAUGGCUAUGUUUAGAGGCUCCAUCUUUGUUUGAUUAGCUUUGAAUGUUGGUGCAUUUACUUUGUACAAUUGGUUAAAAAGAGAAAUUUUAUUUCAUAAAGAUUAUUCCUGUUAGCUCCAUUAUGUCUCCAACGUUUUUGUCAAACUUUCAUGUUACCCUAUAAUUUCAUAUAGCUUGCUGGCUUGUUGCCUUAAUGUUUACUGUUUCUUUGUGCAAGACAAGUGUCGUUCUUAAUUACAUUGUAGUUGUAGGAAUAAUUCAUAUGCAACAAUGAUUUAAUUGAGAAAAUGGAGAUUAAGGAAAUAAUCUUCAUUUGAGCAUUGCUUCUUGUUUAAUUUGUAUUAACAUUCUUGGUUGUCAUCAAGAUGAUACUGAUUUAUAUGAUUUUUGCAGAUUGUAUCGAAAGACUUGUCAGAACCUGUACGUUCACAUAAAGAUCUGGAUAAGGAUGCUGCACCAUAUUUUAAGAAAGCGGUCAAAUUUUAUGAUAGUCUUGCAAAACAGCUGGUCAGCCAGGGUCAUGUACUAGACCUUUUUGCAUCUGCACUUGAUCAGGUCUGUUUGGCCACCUUUUAGGUUCUAUAUUUAUAUUUAAACUCUUUUUUUGUUGAUGAAUCUGUCUCUAUGCCAGAACUAGGUUGAUUUGCUUCAAUGCACUUAUUUCAUACCUGUAAUGUGUUGGCUUUCAUCUUCUGUCCAACCUAGUUAGAAGUUGUAUCACUCUAUUAAUAAGGAUGGAUUCAUUAGACAAAACUUUUUGGUUCUUUCCUGUCCUCUUAAUCGGUCUGAUGGAUUGAAGAACCUGCUGAAGCUGAUAGGAUACAAGGACCCUAAUUUUAUUUGGAAAUUUGAACUACCCCAUAUGUAAUUCUUACUUUACAAAACUCUCUCUCUCUCAUUUAUAAUUUACCAAUUAUUUAAGACACAGUGGAAAUAUGAGGACAUUAAGGCUUGAUUUUUGCCAUGCUUCUUCAAGUUGUGGGCUGUGAUGUAAAUGUUUUAUUGUAUAGAAAACUGUGGAUGACUGGAUUCUAAUAGUUAUUGCAUUUACCAUGGGUACAAACCUUUUAUUUUAAAUGAAUGUCAAUCAUUUCAGACAUUAAUAAUCUUCAAAAUGUUAACUGUACAUAAAUAUGUUAUGGUUUUUUUGUGUGUUGUCAGGUUGGAGUUGCUGAAAUGAAAGUUGCAGUUGAAAGGACAGGUGGCCUUGUUGUUCUAGCUGAAAGUUUUGGUCAUUCUGUAUUCAAAGACUCUUUCAAGCGUGUCUUUGAGGAUGGAGAACAGUCUCUUGGCCUAUGUUUUAAGUUAGUUCUUGUCACCACACCAAAGCUUCUUGUUCUUUUUCAACUUUUUAAGUUUACUUUUCUCUUCUCUUAUCCAUGUUGUUGAUAACUAUAUAGUUGCAUUCUUAAUUGGUGAACUUAUAUUUUUAUUCCAGUUCUAGUUGUCCUUGUAUUAUUUGUUUGAGUUCUAGAUGUGCCAACCACCCCGUGUGCCUUUAACUUAGUUGUGACACCAUUCAGCACUAGGUGAUGCUGCUGUUAGAGAAUGUAAAUUUUUGACAUAGCUUGCUGACCUUGCUAUUCUGCUGGAAGCAGAGCACAAGUUUAUCAAAUUGGUAUAUGAAAAUGACUAUACACUGGUAUUCUAUAUUGGCGUUACUCUUUUGGCUUCAUAGGUUUUCUAAAUGUUGCCAAUGCCUGUGCUUGUAUUGUUGAAAGAGGUGUCAGUAUUAUGACGCUACAGUGGGAGUGUUAUUGUUGAUUUCUGUUAAAAUCCUGAUUUUAAAUUUAAUGCUGAUUGCCAGAAAUGAACUCUCGCUACCAUGUGGUUACCCAUGAAAUUAAUUUAUUUGGUCCGGCAUUAGCUUUAAUUUUGCAAUUGCUUUAGCUUAAGUUUUUUUAUCCACAUGCAUCAUCUGUAAUUUAUGAUUGGCUAUGGCAUGGUUUGGAGCACCCAGAAAUUUCAACUAUUUUAGCUGUAGUAUAAAAUUUCAAACUUAUUAUAAGCUACUUUUUUUUUUAAUUUUUCUUUUUAGUGGCAUGCUCGAGAUUAACUGUUCAAAAGACAUCAAGAUUCAGGGGGUCAUUGGACCUUGCACAUCUUUGGAGAAGGUUGGAUGAUUUAACAAUUUAAUAACAUCUCUUGGUCUCUCUAUAUAGAUACACACUCUAAACUGUAGACUGGAUUUACUUGUAUUUAUGGGCAUUUAAGCUGAUUGCCAUGAGUGUUGCAGAAAGGACCUAAUGUCGCUGACACAGUCGUUGGGGAGGGGAACACUACAGCAUGGAAAAUGUGUGGCCUCAACAGGAGUACUUGCUUGACGGUUUUAUUUGAUCUUUCAUCAACUGAGCGAUCAAAUGUUCCAGGAGCUGCAAAUCCACAGCUCUAUUUGCAAUUUCUUACUAGGUUUGCUGCAUGAACCACCCAAAAGGGUCUUUUUAUUUACCUUAAUGUUAAAUAUAUUUGAUUGUUUCUUUACUUUGUUCCUUUAGUAAUUUGAUCAGUGUUGUUAAGGCAAGUGCCCAGGUGUUGCGCUUUGGUGCCAGAUAACAAAAGUGCCUCUAGGUGCAUUUGAACAGGUGCACACCUGGUGCACUUUUUUUAAGGCAGUAGGCGCAAAAAAGCCUGCCUUGUUGAAGUUCUCUUUAAUUUCUUUAAUUUUUAAUUUUUUUGUAAACUCUACCUUUAGUAGUGAAAAAAAAAAGGACAAUAUCGAGCUCUCUACUUCUCAAUGUUUGAGUAUUCAACAAUAAACAUGGUAUCAUAACGAAAUCAUGCAUAUUGGCCAAAAAAAGAACAGGAAAAUUUUGCAUGUUUCGUCGGAUAACUGGAUCACCCUUAAGAGUUUAUUAUCAGAAAUCUUAAGCCUAUUAUAUACACAGAUGCACAUGCACAUGCACAUGCACAUGCACAUGCACAUGUACACACGCUUAGACAUAUUGCGCCUGAUUUCACUCGGGCGAGGGCUUUUUUUGCACCUUGUCUCUCCAGUAAUAUAAGGGUUCAAGUGCCUAGUGCCCAUCUUGUUCCCUUGACAACACUGGAUUUGAUUGUGAUGUUGUUUAUCUAAUUGCAGUUAUCAGGACCCUGAAGGUAAAUUGAUGCUUCGAGUUACGACUGUGACAAGACAAUGGGUAGACAGUGCUGUUAGUGUAGAGGUUAGUUUAGAUAGAUAUUUUUGUACUUUUGGUUGUUUAAAUUGUCUAAAACAUCUAAGUGUAUAAUUUUCAUUUUUUCCAUUUCAUCCAUUUUUGUGUUUUGUUAAAUAUGUAAUUUGGCCAUAUUUAAGAGUUUUUUUCCUUUUUUUUUUGGGGGGGGGGUUAUAGGGGGUGUUGAAUUUAGACAUGGUAUGUUGUCUGAUGUGUAUAAAUGUCACUGCCAUAUGCAUCUUGGUCCAUGUAUAUGAUUGAUUAUUUUUGUUGGAAUUAAUUUACGCUGGGGGGUAUAGACAUGGUAUGUUUUCUGAUGCAUAUAAAUGUCACUGCCAUAUGCGUUUUGUUUGUAUAUAUGAUUGAUUAUUUUCCUUGAGAAUUUGUUGGAAUUAAUUUAUGCUUACUUUCAAUAAUAUCUCCUUUCUAGGAACUAGUACAAGGUUUUGAUCAAGAGACUGCGGCUGUUGUAAUGGCAAGAAUAGCUUCCCUGAAAAUGGAGACAGAGGUAAUUUAAAAAAUCUUUUAUUCAUUUUUCUAAAGUUUGUUGUAUUUCUUGUUUGGAUGUAUUCACUGUCAACCUAUAGCUUAUUUAGCUGAUACCUUCUGCUUAGUUACUUAUGAUUUUUUUAUCAAGUAAUGUCCAUUCUUUUUCUGUAUUUGUAUUAUGGAUAACAACUUUCUCUCUUAACUUUUUGCCCUAUUUUUUAGUGGUUCUCUCUACUUGCUUUUCUCCUAGCCUUGACCUGCCCCCUUUUUUAUAUUUUCUAUCUAUUAUUUGUUGACUCCUUGCCAAUACAAUAACAUGGUUAAAUGUUGCUUGUGAUAAUUUUUUCUAAUUAAUUAUUAUGUCUUUUUGUUUCAUUUAGGAGGGGUUUGAUGCUACACGGUGGUUAGAUCGGAAUCUCAUUCGACUUUGUUCCAAAUUUGGCGACUACCAGAAGGAUGAUCCAUCAUCUUUUACCUUAAACCCUUGCUUUUCUUUGUUUCCUCAAUUUAUGUUUAAUCUGCGGCGGUCACAAUUUGUACAGGUAAUUGUUUCUUUUUUCUAAUUUCCUACUGUUUAUAUAACAUUUAAUUGACCUAUGUUCAUAAAUGAAUUUUCUUUCCUUUUAUGUGGCAGGUUUUUAACAACAGUCCAGAUGAAACUGCCUAUUUUAGAAUGUUAUUGAACAGGGAAAAUAUUACUAAUGCAGCUGUUAUGAUUCAACCAUCAUUAAUAUCAUAUUCAUUCAACUCGCUGCCCCAACCAGCAUUAUUGGAUGUGGCUUCCAUUUCAGCUGAUCGUAUUCUCUUGCUGGAUUCAUAUUUCAGUAUUGUUGUUUUCCAUGGUAUGACAAUAGCGCAGUGGCGCAACAUGGGCUACCAGAAUCAGCCGGAACACCAGGUAUGUUCAUUUUGUUUAUGCUACCGUAAUCUAGAGUUUAAUGUAAAUAUUUCUUUAGAACCAUUACAUUCAUAAUGUUCCAAAGUGACUUUCAGUAAACAUGCCUGAUGUUGGUCUUCUUUUUACAUUAAGAUAAUAAUGUUUGAUCACUUUCAGUUUGAGAUAAGCUGGAGCUGUGGUGAUUUUGAGGUCUCUCUAAGCCAGUAGUAAAGUUUUAUUAUUCUUAUUAUAAUAUUACUCAUUCUUGUGAGAUAUUUAUCCUAAACUACUGACAGAAGAAAACCCCUUGUACCACCACCUUGUAGCUCUGAAAUGGAAACUAUGAGGUUAAUCAUAAUGAUAUGCUAAAAUAUAGUGAAUAUUAUGAAUUUCUUCUAAAAUAGAGUAUGCUUUGUUGGAUAAGGCUGGUGCAUAGUCGUGUUUGUUGAAAUGACUCCUGGCAUCAUAUAUUGGACCAGUUUAUAGGAUUAAUAAGUGUUUUAUGCAUACUUUAUAAUGUCUCAUUUCUAAAGCUAAAUAAUUGCUCAUUUUAUGUUCAUCUGGCAAUGCUUUACUCUAAGCUAUAGGAAGAGGAUGCCAAUAAGAUAUCCUUACCAGGCAAUUGGCUUUAUUUAACCUGGUUCUAUCUUUACCGGUUUAAGAACUUUCAUUGAUAAUUUUUGUAUUUGCUACUGACUUUCUCCUAUGUCAUAUAGUGGCUUAUAACCUAGGUGCUGGUUUUGAACUUCAAUUUUCUUCUAUAUGAUGUACUUCUUGUACUUUUGCACUUCUGUUAUUUUGGAGAGUUAAAAUUUGUAUAAUAGAGGAACAUAGGGACUUGUUCCAGGGGUGAGAGAUAUGGUUAUGGCAUAUUUCGUUUGCAAUGUCCAUUAUUUGUUAAGCUCUGAAUUGCAAUAUUAUAUUAGAUUGUUGGGAAUUUGCCUGUUCUUCAAUGAAGUCUCUAAUGCAGCUUAAGUUCCACUGGUUAGUACCCAAUAUCUAUGUUCCUACAGUCUAUGAUUCUGUUGUCUAAACCUUAAUUUUUUUUUCAACAGGCAUUUGCACAGCUUUUGCAAGCACCCCAUGUCGAUGCCCAAAUGAUUAUUCGGGAACGCUUCCCUGUCCCUAGAUUGGUUGUAUGUGAUCAGCAUGGAUCCCAGGUCAGUACAUUUCUUAAACUGAUAUUUUUGGAGAUAUAAAAUGUGUCCUUGAUUUGUCCUUUGUGAAUUUCAUCAUUUUUAAAUAGAUGCUACUACAAAGUGUCGCUUCUGUCUGAAUUAUUUUAAAUUUUGCAACACAAUCUUAAAGAAAAUUUACACUUUCUAAAGUACAUUUGUUAUGGUGGUUAAACCGAGAGUGCAAGUACAUCUAAUUUGCUCUGAAUUCUUUGCACAAAUCCUCAGAAGCUUGAUAAAGGUAGCAAGCACAGACUGUUUUAUUGUUACAAUUUAGCUUGAUCAUUCAGCAUUUCUGGUUCAUGGUACCUUCUGUGGGUUUAGCGUUGAUAACUUUUUUUUCCGCUAUGAUGUGAUCACUAUAUUCUUCUAUUCAUCUAGUUUCGUGUUCAUCUUGACCUUUUCCUUCAGUCUGAUGUUACGGUUAGGUAGCAGCAUAUAGCUAUCUUAACAUUUCCUUAUUUCGUUGCUUUUUCCCAUUUUUAGUGAAUUUGAACUGGUUAGCAGUAGAUUGGGGACCUUACCAAUUGUUUCAGUG
rnacentral:lncRNA from 1 species